rnacentral:lncRNA from 1 species
UGAAAAUUGGGUUUAGGUCUAGGAUUUAGGCCUCUACCACUCUGUGUAGAUUUGUUUUACGAUAUAUAACAAUAACAAAACCUCAAAUAACUAAGGAUCAUGAAUUACUAAGAAUUCCUAGUAUCAAGGAAUGGGCUAUUGUACCAUCCUUUAAUUCAAACUAACAUUAGAGGAUAUCUCUAUUUUAUUUAUUAUGCCUCAACCUUUCAUUCAUUUUAUUUUUAGUUUGAUUUUACCCAUUAUUUUCCCUUGGCUCUAACUCUUAAGUUUUCAUGUUUCAUACCCCAAGAUAGCUUUUUAAGCCUCUCAUGGUGUUGAUUUCAUUUACACAAUCCAUAAAAGAAGAAUAAAGAAUCAUUAUUUAAUAAAAGAAAUUAGAAACAAUUUAUUAAAGUAAUAAAAUAAAGAAAAUAAACUAAGAAUUUUCAAUAUCGUCUUCUACCUCCAAGAAUAUCCAAGAACUCCUAAAAAGGAAGUCAAAAGCUAAGUUGACACAUGGCAAGAUCUUAGAGAAUAUGUAAAGUCUUCUUUCCAAAUCAAGGGCUCUCAAUCAAAAUUGUAAAAUUUGAAUCAUGAGAGCCUUUAGUGAAAAGUUAUUAAUUUUGCACCAGGAUACUCCAUUUUGCAUGGUCAUGCAAAAUUUAUUCCCAUUGCUCUCUCAGCAUGCUCUCUGGUGUAUUCAGCAUGUUCAUGCGAAAAUUCGCAUGUUCAUAUCAUAUGAAAGUGAUUCCAAUAGGUUUUUGAGCUGCUACAAAAGUGAGCUUUCUGGUCUAUUUCACACGUUCAUGGGAAAAUUCACAUGAACAUGCGAGCGAAACUGAUAUUUCUUUGGUUUCUCUUUGCCUAGUUUUCUUCAAUCACCCAUAUCUUCCUCGUUUCAACUUUGAUUUGCACACUGAUUGAAGUAUAGGAUUUUUGACUUUUCGAGCUUUGAAACGAUAUAUAGCAUGCCCAAAAAUGACCUUGGGAAGUACUCCAAAUUUUACCUCAAAUUCAUAGUAUAUGUUAUUGCCAAAUUUUGAUUUCUUAUUAGAAUGUUUGAACUUUAAGCAUAUCUGUCAACCUUCUUUCUUGUGUUUGUUUGCUUUCCAACUCUUUCCAUAACUUUCAUUUCUCAUCUCUCAUGCUAUGAAUUACUCCAUUUUCAUUUGUCAAAACUUUUCUCGUGUUUCACACUCUUGGAGCUCACUCUAAGCAUAUCUAGUCUUUUCUCUACCAUGACUGUAAAUAACUUCUUCAACUUGCACCAUUUUCAUCCUUUAAACCUGAGAUUUAACUUAAGAUAUAUGUUAGAUCCAUGGCUAGGAUCUUAGCAACAAUUCAAGUUGGGUUGGGUGAAUUGGGCCUUUACAUUUGCAUAAUUCAUUACCAUAUGUGCCACAAUUUAAGGCUCUAAUCAAUGCAUCACCCAGCCAGAUUAGAUUAGACUGGCGAGAUGGCAGCUAAAUCAUGUUCUAUUUGCAUUCUUAAUUUGCAGUCGUGAUACCUGGAAAUCUCUUAGGCAUGCAUGUUAAAUUUUCAGCUGCGUGUAAUGUCUUUGUAUAUCAUUUUAUUUCAUUUAUUUUUAUUUUUAUUUUGUUUUUCCUGUUGAAACAUGUUUUAUUUCGUCUUUUCUCAGGCAAUGUUUCAAUGGGCAAAGACUUGAAGAUGGGCAUAUCUAGACAUUUGGAUUUACAACUUGAGCAUCCAGUUAAGGUUCCAACUGCUCUUGUGGGUACAAAUCAAAGUAUUUUUUCUGACGUUGACUCUAAUAAAUUUAGUGAGGCAAGGAAUAAUUGACAGGGUGAUAGCUCAUCCAGAAAUUUGGAGAAAACUGCUGAUCAGAUACAUGUAAUCCCCAAGAUCACUUGGCUUUUAUGGACAGCAGAGAGUUGAAGAUCCAAAUGGACCCUUAAAGAUAUCAGAUAUCAAUAAUGAAACUGUUAAUGAUGCAAAAGAACCACCAUUGCUUGAUCUUACUUUCAAGAGGAUUACAAAAGUUGAACACACAACAAACACAGUUCAGGAUGACGGCAAUCUCUUGUGACAGUUGGGCCUUUCAGCCUUCUCAAGGUAUGAGGAGGCUUAGGAUCCAGAAAAUAUUUUUGCUGUUUAUGAUGGAAUCUUGAACAGAUUCUUCCAUUUGUUGUUCGCUGCUAUUCAGUUACAGUGUAGCCUCAAAUGCUAAUAAGUCCCAUUGCAGGAACGUGGAAGGCGGUUCUCCAUGUGAUAAUAGCUCAAAGUAGAAAGGAAUUGACAUGUAAUUUUCAAUCUCAUUCAAGUGCCAAAUCUCCCAAUCAGUGCUCAUAUGGGGGAACCAGUAGUUUUGAUCUGGGCUCUGCAACUGAAAAAAAAAUAUUCUUAGUUCUCCAAUGGUUUGAUUAGCAAGGGCUUAAGCUUUUUACUUUUCCUCUGUUUUAAUUUUUGGACAGUUAUCUUGUUAUAGGUGCUAAUGUUGGCUGCUGUUUUCCUGUCUAUUAUUUCCUAUGAUCUUCUUUUCUGUGCUAAUGGUGACCUCCCCAACACCAUGAAAAAAUGAAGGGGAAAAGGAAGAAGAAAAAGAAGUGGCAUUAACAUCAGUGGUCAAAUGUUCACAUCCAUGCCCUGCUUUCUGACCUAUGAAAGUUGAUCUUUUAUGUUACCACAGUUUGUUGGAUUAGAUAAGAGGCUAAUGAGAUGGCAGUCAAAACUCAUUCUGGCUGAACAAGAGGGACGUGCUUGGAUCUCCAUAUUUGGCCUCUUAACCAUCAACACUAACCUGUCUAAAACAUAAAACACCGGUUGCCACUAAGCCAUGAGGUGUUGUGAUUGAAAAAAAUGACAGCAGCUGCUCCAAAAUGUGGCUCUUCCAACUGUCUGGGCUUGCCUGCUGAAGGUAACACAGGAAGUAAUGGGUUGGAAGCAUGUCAAAUAGUAAAAGUGGAGGCAAUGGCCUGAACAUGAGCAGCACAAUGUUGAAGGCUAUGGGGAUAAACAUAGGAGGUGAUAAUGUGAUAGCUGGGAAAAAUGGAAGUGUUGAUGCUAGUGAGAAGGAAUGGAAGCAAUGGAAACAAAAUAGAUCUCAGAGAGAAGCAGCUUUGGUCAAAUUUCAUUAAGAGAGAAAGGAGAGAUGUAUGAUGCUUCAAAAAUAAGGUAACUAGCUUAGUUGUUUAGAAAAAUGUUGCAUCCCUCAGAUAAAUAUCCAAGAGGCAUGUGGGAGAUGCCUAUGAUUUUGCAAAAGGUAUAGGCAUUCCAUCAUGUCUAGCUAGAUAACUCAUUUGUAGGAAAUAACAUUGCUAAGUUGUUCUUUCACUAAUGCUAGGUGUUGGUGAAUUAUUGAAUAAAAAAAUUCUGUUCCACUUAUCUUCUGUUAGUUCUGUCCAAGUGUAUCUUUAUGCUAGCAGAAGUUAGUUUUCUUUUACAUUCUGCUUAUCAUAUUGAUUAGUAUGAAAUUAGAAACCUAAAAAGUACUCAUUCUAGAACCUACUGGUGAGCCCAUAUGGCAUAUUGAAAGACGCAUCAACAAGAUGACAAGUUGAGAGCUAGCAUAUGUUUUUUGGGUGUAAUGAAAAACACUGCAAGAAGUAAUCAAGCUUGAUGUUGUCAUAGCUUAUCAUAAAAAAAAGAAGAAAAGCUUGAUGUUGUCAUAUAGCCUAAUCAAGCUAGUAUGUGAUGUAUCAUAGGUCUGUUCUUAUCCAUAGUUUGCAUGUCUAGGUUUUUCCUUGAAUUUUCAUCCUUAUAUUUGGUCCUAGGGUUUUCUGUAAUUAUUUUUCAGACCUGGUGCUUCCAUCCUUCUACUCAUGGGAAAUGAUUUCCCAUUUCAUAGCAGGCUACCUGGAUUUCUCAGCCACCCGAACCUCCUCAUACUUCUUAAUGUCAUGCAUGAUAUAAUAAGUUGUCCAUCUUGACUCCUUUAGUACUUUUCUUAACAUAGGAGAUGGAACCUUAGAGAAGUAUGAUGGCUAAAACUGCAACAAGGUUUCAGCAAACCACUAAGUUAAAAAUGAUCCGACUAGUUUUCCUGAAUUAGCAACUUUUCUUUGUGCCUCCUGUUGGCCAGAAGCUGUUACUUGUGAAAUUGGGUAUUACAAUGACCAAUAGAACAUGGGAACUAGUUGACUAAGUGCACCAGAGAGUUGGAGGCCUACCAUGUAGAAGCAAAGCUGUUGGCUGGAAAUGAUGUUUCUUUCUUUUUCUUAUUCUUUUAGGCAUUGAACUUGAUGGAUAAGUGGUCAAACAAAAUGGAUUAGUAGUUAAUUGAACCCAUAAUAAUAGUCUGUUGUACCAUAACUAGACUAUUAUUGUUGUUUAAGAAUGAAGUCAUGUAUUUUUACAAGAAUGAACUUAUGUACCAUUUGCAAACAACUUUGAACCUUACAUAGAUCAUAAUAGGAUCCAGAAAAAUAUACUGAUAGUUAAAUUUUUAGGGCAAACAAUAAUGACAAUUGAGAAGUGCAGAUAUUAUUCAAAGUGUGUUUUUAAUAUUAGUAGGUUGAUUAUCUUCUUCCAGAGUGAUCAUCAUUAUAUGGUGAAAAUUUUAAUUUGAUUACAGGUUCUAUGGUUGGUAAGUAUGGUUUCAUGUAGGGACAUCAGAACUUUGCAACUAGCCUAUCUCCCACCAUCUUACUAUAUUCUGGUGACUAGACCAUUAAAGUGAGGAAUCCUGGCAUCGUGGUAAAAAAAUCUUACAAUGUUUAUUGAGAUCAAAAGGUCUGCUAAGAAAUGUACUAUUAGUGGAACUAUCAGAAUAAAUUGAUAGGGAAAGGGACUAAAAAGUAAUGGAUUAUAAAAAAUAACCAAACUACAUAUGUACGUCGGGAUUGCAAGAUCUAGUUGUGAUGGAGAAGUAAAGUUCUUAAGUAACUUUUGAGCAAUAACAAGUAGUCUUGAGGGAGCUCUGUGACUAUUCUCUAAUGCUGUAAUAACAGAGAGAUGAGUUUUUUUAUAUUUUUGAUAGAUAAACAACAAUAUAUAUAAAAAGGGCCAAAAAGCCACAAGUAUACGGGGGUAUACACAGAAGCCCAAAACAAUAAACUGAAAGAAGAAAGGGGGAGAAACCUUGCCAACCCUCAAGUGGUCAACAGAGAGAUGAGUUAUUUAAUAUUAGCUAUCCAUGGAAUAUAUAGUUACUCAAUGUCUUUGAUAAGGAAACCCAUUUGUGUGUGGAAGCAAGGUUCCAUUUGAACACAUGUUGAUUCCUCAAACUAUUGGUGGUAAGAGGUCUACUGAACUCUGAAAAUGCAUGAACAAUAGAACUUGACAAUGGCUUGAAAAGAUGUGUCACUUUCAGAUAAGAAUCUUGUUGAGCAGCAGCUUUAGAAGACAAAAUGUUUUAACCACUAGAAAGGUUCACAUGCAAAUGCAAAAGACACCCUUCUCAUGCAGUGUAUCAUUUCAUCCUAUACUGAUAAAUUUGUAAAAUAUUGGGGAGGGUUAGAUUGUCUAAAGUAAGCCAUGUUUUUUCAAAUAUAUUCAUUUAUUCUUUUAGCUUGUUCUUAGAAUGUGUGCAUGUUUGUAAGAGAGAGUUUUCCCUUUGUUUUUUGAAUGGGUUACCCCUAGUAAGUAGGAGAAUUGGCACCUAAUGGCUUGAAGUCAGUAGUCCCAGCUUUGGGUCCAUGUUUUUUGAAUGCGUUACCCUCGGUCAGUAGGAGAAUUGGCACCUCUAAUGGCUUAAACUCAACAGUCCCAGAUUUUGGUGCAUUUGAGCAUGCUUCCAUGCUAGCCUAUUAACCCACCCAUUGGAAAUGCAUGCUUUGUUUACAUUUUGAAUCCUUGCAUGUUUAUACAUUUUGAGCUCUUACAAAGUUUUCAUUUCUGUUUUCAAACAGGUACUCUGAACAAAUACAGUUGUCCCCUUGAACUAGUUUGGAGGUUACCUUCUUAUGGAUAUUCAAAAGCCCAAAAUCUCGCCUUCCAGAUCAGCUAGUGAUCAAGAUUCUUCAAUCUAUCUUCAUGAAAUUUUCUCUUAUCAUAGAUACAGUUUAAAUUUUCUCUUAUCAUAUUGGCUGGCAAGUAUUAUUUUCAUUAAAUCUUAUAUUUGGCACAUACUGUGUAACACAACUUGCUGUUUCUUACAUUGGCAAGGACAUACAAUAUGAUGCAACAGAACAGAACAGAUAGUAUACAUAUGUGAAGAUGCUCAAAAAUCUUCAUGGAUAACUGAAAAUUUCUUAUUCCUUAUUUUCUGGAUACAGAGUGGGUUUUUUCAAAGGGGGAGGACUCUCUUUCUCUUAGUUACCCGUGAUUUCUUUUUACAGGCAUUUUUCUGUAUAGGUGCUGGCAUUCUUGUGAAGGGGUUGGCUUUUCUGCAAGCUGCCACAUGCUUUGUUGACUAUUGGGAAUAUGGGGACAAGAGUAGUUGUGCUCAUCUUUUUAGGCGCAGGUCCGUCGGUCAGGUCAAUGGUCAACCUGCAAGUUUGGAGGUCAUUUUUUUUUCAUGGUCCUUAUUUUAGGGUGAGGUGAAUUUGUGCACCCUCAGGUUUUGAGAUAGACCAUUCUCCUGGUGGUUUUAUUUUUGGUAGCUCCAAUAUGUAUGUCUAUAUAAUCAAUAUAUAUGUAUCACAUAUGCCCCCAAUGUUUUCCAAGUGGAACAGACUUCGAUAUUUUUUUUUGUGUUCAGCUAUCAAAACAGCUGUUUUGUUGCUAUUGAACAAAAGAUAAGCUUGCUUGUCAAGUGUUUAGAGACUUGGACAAAAGAUAAAUGAGGGUGUAAGGUAGGGGAGGAUUUAUGUAUAUGGGGACAGCUUCCUCCUGGGAUAAAAAACAAGAAAAAGUGAGUUGGUUGUUUCAUCUUUUCUUCAGAUGCAAUACUCUGGAUUACAUAUCAUUGUUGAAAAUUUGGAUAGAACCAACUGUUUGUUUUGAUUUUUAGGUUUGAUGUCAGACCAGGGAGAUGAUGGUCAGAAAAUUUGUGUGGAAGAUGUUCAUAACAAUGCAAGCAGGAGCACGAUGGAUUCUUUUGAAAUGCUACAACUGCCCCUACUUUUAAAGGUAAAUCCACACACAUUUUAUGUACCAUCACCUUUAUAAACAUAACUCUUAAAAUAAAAGUCAUGUCAUUAUCAAAUAGUGAGAGAUCAUGAGUUCAAAAUUCACCACAUGUUUAUUUCCCCAAUUUAUUGAGCCCAUGUGCAAAGCUUAAAGGAGGUUGUCGGGAUUUGUUUGCCUACAGGCCUGUGUGUCUUCACAUGCAGCUAUGGGGCCAUAGAUGACAGAUGGUGUUAGAGAUUAUAAUACAAACAACUUAAACUUUUAGGAAAACCAAUUGUUCAAGGCAAAAGAAUAAUGCAAGUCAUUUUACCACCUACAAGGCAAGGUGAAAACUCCGAAGCAGAAAGCCUUUCCCUUUUGAUCUUUACAUAUAAGAAUAUAAUAACGUACAAAGUUAGAAAAAUAUUGUACCCUUGUAUCAAGUAGCACAAGUAGCAAAAGAAGGUGUGGUACCAACAUGGAAACCAAGUAUGAAGCAAAACAAUUAGGCAUCAACAGUUCCACAAAGUUAAAGCACUUUCUACUAGAUUAAGACAACUAACCAUUUUUUUCAACAUGAUUUCAAUAGCCUAAAUAUCAAUAGUGAUUAAAUUACGAGAAAAAAAAAAUUAGAAACUCUUGGAACUCUAGUUACCUGACAAUACCCAACAGAGGGGUUAUGUUGAGCAUGCGCUAAAAGCAAAUGCCUUAAGGAAUCUCUACCAACCUUGUCUAGAGCAGGAUGGCCUGGGAAUGUUCGAGGCAAAUCCUGAAUAGAGAACACGUGAAGUUAGGCUAGGGAGAUGCCUAGAGUGCAAUACAAGGUACAAGUAGUAGCACCUACGAAUCAAAAAGAUUGAACGAUGAAGUCCAAGGCCCAUGCAUCUAAUGACCUUCUCAAUCUGCCUUCUCCAUUUCUCAGGUAUGGCAUGAUCUGCAUUGGGCUGCUUACUGCCAUUGACUGAUAAAGAGCUGCCAUAAUCCUUGCCCUCACCAGCAUUAGUUUCUGAAGCUAUCAAAUUCUGGUAAUAUCUCUCCAUUCUGCGUUUUCUUGCACCAACAAAUGCUUGCCAUACCUGUAAUGUCAAUAUAAUAGUAACAUACAUAAUAAUUUCUCUCUAACAUGAGAACACGAAAACCAACCAAUUCAAUAGUAUCAACUGCACCUCUCCCCUGAGAGCCUUUGGCAGUCCCCCACGAACAAGGCACACUAGUUCUUUUUUCCAAGGAAAGAAAGGUUCUGGUGAGAUCCCAUUAGCAGCAGCACUUGCUUCCAAGGAUUCAUUCCCACUGUCAUCUGAUAUCAAAUUAAAAGAGAGCACUUCCUCAAAGUCCUCUUCAAUGGAUGGAGGAUGAUUUCGACCUAUCUGCUCAUCUUUCAUAUUCUCUCUCCUUAAUGUGUAAACUCAUUGUACUCUCGAUGGCACUAAGGGACAAUCGAAUCCAGGCCCAUUUUCGGACCUUACCAGCUUUUGUUUCUUUUGCCACCAACACCUCCUUUUGUUGGUCACUUUCGGUUGAACCAUCAGAAACAGACUUCUUGCUACUUGACACAUUCCCUUCCCCACCCCUCCCUGGAACAGACUCUGCUUCCUCCCGUGUAAUUUCAGUAAGCAAAGUGUUGUUAUAUUCCUCCGCAAAAGCACAAACUAGAGAAGACUACUUUUGCUGUUCAAGGAAUUGCUUCCAUUUAUGUAUCCUCUCCUCUUCCUCCUCCUGAAUACAUUGACACAGAGCUGACUAGAAAAUGGUCCUUGCUAUUUAAUGCUAGAAACAUGGCUUCAUCAAAUCAAAUAUCAAAUAUUAAUGCGUAACAAUGUUGGUCAUCUGAUGAUUCAUCUUUAGCUUAUUUGCUGAGAAAAGUAAGGGAGGGGGAAGAAAAAGAAAGAUAACUUUGAGUAUUUCAUCUGGGUCCCUCAAAUAUGAGAAACUCAACUCAACUAAGCCAAAGAACAUAUUCCACCCCAUUUAGUGGUUCCUUGUUUUCCUAGGUUCCUAAUAUAAUAAAAUGCCUAAAAGUCGUAUACACAAUGUGUCAUCUUUUCCCUACAACCAGAAAAGUAUGAGCAACAAAUUAUUUUCAAAUUUUAUAAAUGCAUGCUUGACACAUCCCUCCACGAGUCAUGAUAAAUAAAUAAAUAAUAAACCUAGCCAUUAAGUACCUUGUAUAUUUCACAGCACUCUCUGUAUCUUUGAAGGUGUUGAGGUCUCAAUGCAAAUCCAUAGGCGUCUCUGUCAACAUCAACGUGUAGAUUCUCAAAUUCAAACAAACAAAUAUCUCAUUUCCAUACAUCCGAGAAAACAAGUCCAAUCUAUCUUCUGUAUCUCCAGACUCUUGAUGACAAUGACAGACAAGAGAGAUAUGAUAGAUAGACACGAAUAUAAAACAUUCAAAAAGAAACCCAAAAACCCCAUCAUUACCUGGAAUCAACCUCCAACGACCGCCUACUCAACAGAGACAACAACAUACUUUACAAAAACCAGCAAGUCCACCGUCCAUAUCGCUCAGUUUCCACAUUCUAAUAUCCCAAUGCGAAACUUCAUACCAAAACUCAAAUGUCUCAAAUAUUUCUCAGUAACCCACUCAUUCGAAUACCAGCCCAGACCCCACCAAAUCCGAAACAAAAUAAAAUGGGGAGAAAAGAGACAUUAUGUUCAAGAAAAUGCAAGUGAGCAGAGCACGAACAGAUUGAAAACCUAGAAAGAUAGUGAAGCUAUGAUGGAACAAACCGAAGGAGAGAAACAAGGGGAGCAAGAACACGUGGGCACAGUCACAGAAGAAGAAAAUGGUGGGUGUACCUGAAGAGUUGGGAAUUGUUGAGGAGGUUCAAAGCCUUGUCCGGCAUCCUCGGAUGGUCUGGGUUUUGGUGGUUGUUACUUGUCGCCUGAUUCCUGCAACUGUUCUUCUCUUUCCCUUUUUCUCCUCCAACGUUCUUGUUUGGCUCCUUAUUUUAAGUUUCCUUCCAUGAAUUAAUUGAUUUGGACUCACGUGUCGUUCGACUGUGAUGUUUGGAAUCUGAGGCCCAGCCCAGCCACUUCUUUCAACUUUUUUUUUUUCUUAGGGUAAGAUAAAAAAUAUGUGUUAAUAAUCUCAUUAUCAAUAAAAGGUACACAGUUGUUUCUUGUUAUUUAUGAAAGUUAAUUUUAAGGAUAACCCUGUCUCCUUAAUAAACAAAAAUAGAGAAAUAAUAGAAAAAAAAAAAAGAAAUAGAAAAAAAGCAAGUCAACCCCAGAUCGCAUAUAAGAUUUAAUUUCACUGGGUGCACCAUGCAUGCUACAAUUUAGAAAUAAUGAAUGGGUGAGAACUCAGACCUCAGGAGCAUUGAUUCACUUGAUGCGAAACAAAACUGAACAUACAUUAAAUGGAGCAGCUUUUUGUUCCAAAAUGAUCUUAUUUAAUUAAUUUAAUCAUAUAUUAUUUUUCCUUCACCUCAAUGUUUACAAUAAAAAAUGCACAUACAUGGAAUGGUUGAAGAAAAAUGAGUUGUUAUUAUUCCAAAUGAGGCCCCCAUGAAAGCAGCUGUUGCAAAAGACUUCAAUUUUAUUUAUGAAUGUAGCCAGGUAUGGCUGCCAAAUGGCUCUAUUACAUGGUAACUCUAGCCCCACCAUGUAGGCACGUAAAACAGUACAAUAGGCUAAGAGACAUUCCAAAGGGAAAGGGAACCAAGCCCCGUUAUUCUGUAGAUAGUAGAAAACCAGUGCUGACAAUUGACCUGUUUGUUACUGGAAGAUGAUCAUUACUGGGUCUGCAAAGCGGGAAAUAUGUUCAAGAGGUCAGCAAUUUAUAUAUAGUCUGCAAGCACAGAGAAAAUUGAAAAAAGCACACAUAGAACAUUAAACCAGAUUGCUAUAGAAGUAUUACCAGGAAACGCUUCUUGUAAGCUUCAACGAGUUCUUUGGGAUCACAUUUUGUUUGCUUAUAAGCACCAAUCUUGUUCAACUCCUGCAGAAGGAUUAAGGAUAUGAAUGACCAAGAUGAUCGUUGAAGAACCAAGAGGGAGCAUUACAAUAACACGACACACUCCUUUGCACAACACUCACUCAAAAUUAAAAUAAGUAAUUUUCAAACUUUUUAGAAGUACAUUCUAAAUUUUGCCAAAUGCCCGAUUUUUCAUCAAAAGUGUUUUUUUAUGUUAAAAAUGUUGCCUAAAAGUACUACCAAACAGACUCUAAGUGUAGUAAAAAAUUUCUGGGAGGAUCAUCAGUAGAAGUGCCCCAAAAAAUGCUGCACUAUGCUCGGAUUCAAUUAAAUUCUGAUAAUACUCUUUCCACCAAAACCCUUACUAUAGACAACAAAAACCAGCACUCUAAACUCAGAUUAACCUAUUUAUAUAACUGACUUCCAACAAUGACCAUCAUGUCACAAUCCACUCUGAGGCUUAAAUAGUAUGAGUAAGAGUAAAAACCCUUUCAGGAGGUAAGCAGCAAUAACCUGUAAGCCCAAGGCACACUUCUGAACUACUAGCAUGCCUGUGCCUAGGUUUGUGCAACUUCUACAGUUUAUCAAUGGACAAGGAGGGCAUCUGCUUCAUUAUGGAGAAAAGUUACUGCUAACUACAUUUCAUCAAUCUUUCUAUUAACAUUGUAUGAUUUUUGAAAGUACCUCAAUCCAUGCUGCUAGUUUAGGCCUGCCAACUGUGAUGUCAUACUUCCACACUUCGGAUAAGAAGAUUUGGAAUCUUUCAACAAAUGGAAUGUAGGCUAUGUCCACCUGAAAACAUAAUUUUACUUGUGAAAGCUAGAUGAGAAAGCACUUAACCCAAAAUCAACAAAAGGCAUGCAAUGCAGCAUUAAGAAAGAACUUUAACAUGAACGAAAAGUAUACCUACCAAACUGAAUUGGCCAAGGAAGAAAGGCCCAUCAUCAAAUUUAUGAAGGGCAGUUUCUAGAUGAUCAAAAGGACCACCUGUUACAGAUAACUAGCUUCCAUCAAUCUCCUGCAUAGAAUACUGUGUAAUAAUAAAAAUUCCACAAGUAUCAAGGUAAACAACUCACCGACUUCUUUUGUUGGGUCUCCUUUUAAUGAAGUAUAUAAAAUUCUGUUGAAUGUAUCAGUGUAGGAGAUCAACUCCUCAGCAAACUCUCGCUUGCCAGGACCCUAAAAUGUUUUCACAUCAUCACUUUUGUUAGAGAGGCGGAGACAGAGAGGGGCAGCCCAUCAAGGGCACAAACGAAUUUUACAAAUCUUACAUCAGGGCAAAGUGAAGGCCCUCCAAAGUUGCUAUCAACGUAUUUAAUCAAAUCAAGACUCUCUCCAAUGACUUUGUUAUUGUGGUCCAGUGCAGGCACCUAUAGAAGGACGACUUCUUAGUUGAUGAAAUAGAGGAUAUAAUUUGUUAAAUUGAUGUAAAAGCAUGUGUGAUCAUCUGUAAAUGAUCAACUAAUGUGUUUUCCAUAAGCACAAAAUUUUAGAAAACCAAACAUCUCAAUAGGUCUCCUAAUAAAUAAAUGAAUAAAAGCAUAUCGUUUUCAAAGAAUAUUACCUUAUUUUCAGGGUAGACUUUUUCCUUAUACCAUGCAGGCCUGUUUUGAAGGUUAAGAGGAACCAAUUUAAUCUGUUCUUGUAAACCCUGAAAUCAAAAGAUUUAAAGACAACAGAAUAUCAAAGCGCGAAGUUUGAAAUCUAAUACCAAACCAUAAAAGCUUGCAUUACACAACUUAAGAACAGCAAAGCAGAGUUUUCAAGGGAAUCAAGAGAACCAACCAACCUUAUAAUUCCUGGUUAUCCACACUCGCUGGGCGAAGGGGCAAGAAUAUGAAAUAUACAACCUUCAAGAAACAAAUCCAUUUUUAUAAACCCGAAGAGAAAUCCAAAUUUUAAAAAACGACAAAUCGCCUGCCGCCCGCUGUUUGGUUGCCAAGAAAACUCAGUAAAUGAAAUCCAAAGGCCCCGAAAAGAAAAUUUAGUUAACCCAGUCAAACAGUAUCACAACGGAUAAUUGAGCCGAUCAUUCUGUUUCCCAACCAUUGAAACAACAGAAUUUUCUUUAUGUUCUUUCCUUUUACAGGACUUGAGUUUAUUACCAACCAAACAGGGGAUCAGCAAAUGAUCGGAAAAAAAAACAGAGUGAAAAUGAAAGAACCUUGUGGUGCCAUCAAAGAGAGGAGGUUGAUCAGAAGUAGAAUCCAACACCGGAGGCAGAACCUCUUCCACACAUCUAGGAAAUUCAAAACAAAACAAAACCCCAUUAAUUGAAAGAAAUACAAUGCAAAUUUAUGGAGAAAAUUUCCAAAAGCUUACGUAGUGGCCAUGUCUGCUGUCUGCUGUCUGGUGUCUGGGAGGGCGAGAAGCUUCGGGUGCCUGAGAAAUCGCAGUUCUGAGUGGUUUUAUAGGAGAAAUUGAUCCCACGCGAUCGCGAGCAAUGACGCUAUGCGGAAGUCAACGCGCGGCGGAGGAGAGAUACAGUGGGAGGGCGGUCACAAGAUGAAAUCCUGGGCUCUUCUCUCAGCCGUUGCAUUUAAUUACUUUUUGCGAUUUUUAGAAUGACCCGGUCUUGCGAAUUGCUCUCCUAGUUCUUGCGAAUUCCUUUUUUAUUUUUUAUUAUUAUUUUCAAUGUUUUUAGCUUCGCUAGGAAAAAAGAAUAAUAAUAAAUAAAAACUGUAGAAAAUUAAUUCUAUGUUUGAUAAAAUUAGUUCAAAAAAUUAUAUGAGUUUAGAAAAAAUUUUCUAUUUUUCUAUUUUUAUUUUUUAUCUAUUAUUUUUAAAAAGCAUUUUUUUUAUAGGAAAAAGCAUUUUUAGUUUUUCUAAAAAUAAUUCUUAUUUUUUAUUUUUAUUUUCUAAAAAUAUUUUUAUUCUUUUUUACUUAAAAAAGAAGAAGCAUUUGAUUAAGAAAAAUAAAAACUAUUUUUAGAAAUGAAAAAUUUAAAAUUAUAAUGAUAGUCCAUGAAAUUAUUCUAAUAUAAAAAUAUAUUCAUUUGUAAUAAUAAUAAAUAGAAUAUUUAUACCGUGUUUUUUAAAGAUAUAUUUUAUUAUAAAUAUAGAUAUGAGAUAAUAUUUUAAAAUAUGUUUGAUUAUAGAUACAUAUAAGAUAAUAUUUUAUUUACAUUAAUAUUUCGUAUCACAUAAUUUAUUUUAUAUGAUUUUAUUCCUUAUUUCAUUUUCAAUUUUAUAGAUUUAUUUUUUUUAAAUGUGAAAAUUUUAAAAUACUUGUAAAAUAAAAGAAUUAGAAAAGGAAAUAAGAACAAAAUAAAUGAGAAUGUUGAGAGGAAAAAUAGAAUAUUAUUUCACUAAUAGUCUAUUCCAAGCCACACAAAAUUAGCAUCAAAUCUAUUAUUACCAUAAAAGCCAUUACUAGUUUUCUUCCACAUUUCUUCCACAGCCAUUGCUAGUUUUCAAUGAAAUCUAUUAUUACCAUCAAAGCCAGAUAAAUAUCAGUUUCACAGUUGUGGCUGAUUGUAAAUUAGACUGGAACAGACAAAGAGAGCAACAAUGUGACUGCCUGUUGUAAAUUUUAAAAGAAAUCAAUCGACUGUCCCAGCUCCUUUGGCUACUCAGAUUUCUUCAUUAGACUCAACAGUACCCCAGCACCAAGACUUGAUAGUUCGAUUUCCUGAUCUGCAGAAAAAUUCUAACCCAUUUUAUAGGGCGUAGAGUAAGAUGUUGAUAAGUCAACACAACCCCAUCAAUGACUUACUUUCCAGACACCAUCUUGAAUUGUUACGAAUAGAUUGCCAUCAUAACUAGCUGCAACAUUAAGAACAAACAAAUCUUGGACCAUAAACAUCAGCUAGCACAACAUAAUCUGCCAACAACACAAUCAUUUUUAGCAAAUAAAAUAUUUCUUCAGAUUUGAAAAAGAAGGAAAAAGAAAAAGAGAAAACAGUUCCUCAAAAGCCUAGGAGGCUUUCUUGCACAGUUCUCAUCACUGUUGUCAUACAUUCCACUUCAAAGAUUGAAUGUUAGCUAUCAAGUUUAUAGAAAGCAAUAUUAAGAAAACGAAAGUUUAGGAAAAUCUGUGAGAGGAAUGAUUUGAUACAUACAAUCUGACUCCACAAAUCCUUAUCACAAACUACCUUUCUUAUGCAUACUUGAGCCAAGUUGAGUCCAGACUCCAGAGUAAUUACUGGAUGGAAAUGGACGAUGUUAAUCUCAGAGUCAGUACAAAUACACUUGAUCCCCUUUCAUUUCUUUGUAUUUCGUCUCAAAUCCUAUUUUCUAUCUCUUCAUUCUUCAUAUUUGAUUUUCUAGAGCCCAUCUAACAAGGACUGAGCUUGGGCUGGCGUAUACUCAACCUGGAGUUGGAUCAGAAAAAAGGACCUGGGUAUAUGCCCUCCUAGCAUGUUAUGUUUUGAGCCUACAGAAAUAUCCUAGAUUAUAUGGUUAAGAAUGUAAACUAUGUGUUGAGUUCUAACAAUUGUAAGGAGAAGGUCAAAUAUCAGGCCAGUUUGAACCUAAUCUAAGGUUAAUUUCACAAAAGGGCUCGCUCAAGCUGAGAGUACCUUAGAUUGGACUGGGCUGAGCUUGAGUCACUGGCCCCUGCUUCUGGCUAGAUCUCAAAUUUUUAACACACUUAAUAAUUAUUAUCAUCCUAUUAUUUCUUCAUUGAAGUGCUCUCUUCAUUAUAGAUCUUGAUGGUGAUCGGUAGCAUUCUUUGUCCAACAAUAAGCCGGGACAGCAAAGGGAGUAACAGUAGGAACUUGAGCAUUGCACUAGAGGCAAGAAUAUUCAGGCAUCAAGACUGGAAAGUUGGAAUAUAUUUUCCUAUAGGAGGAAAGAAAAUGUUAUCAACAACAACACACCAAUAAUUAAAGCAAAUGUGUAAUGACUAACAAGCAGAAAUCUGAAGCAGAAUUGGAAAACUCCCAUUGAUAAGGAUUCUUAUCUAUAUGGCAGCACAGGACAUGCCAGCCUCGAACCAUACAACCACAAAUUUAUACUGGAGAAAACAGAAGUGACCAAUGCCGUCACAUUCAAGACAUAAUUCCUUAGGUUUCAGAGUGCAAUUUUUCUGAUUUUGGCCAUGUGUAAAACAAGUUUAAUGAUUAUGGAACCACAUUAAGUCAAACUACCAAAAUUUCCAUCUCAGGUUGGAAAAGCUUGACUAGUUCAUAAAUAUUACAAAAAAAAAAAAAACUAUUGACAACCUCCUGUGACGCCCAUAUAUGUAUAUACAUGUCUAUAUGCAUAGAAAGACAAGGUAGUUACCAGUCACAGGAAUGAAUUUCUGGCAUGUCUUCACUACAAAGUUGUUGUAUAGGUCUGUCUCAUCUUCAUCAGCAGCAAAUAACUGUUUAUAAAACAAGAGAAAAAUAGGAAUCGUAUAACUUACUUGCAGAAAUCCACACAGCAGAAUACAUAUAGAAGCAGAAAAUAUGUUAGGGCUGUGAUCUACCUGCAAAAAUAUAUCCACUGGAUAAGAUUGCUAAUAACUUGCUUAAAUCCACAGUGGAAAGAAAAUUAAAAUAGAUAUUGCAUCAAGAAUUGCUAUAUCAGUUUAGAAGAGAAAUGGCACCUUGAAUGAUGAGAACAGAAGUAUUGCAGCGAAUAAACAUAGUAGAACAUGCAGUCAGCAGAAACAAUUUUUAUAACCCAAGGCAAUUCCCAAAUUCAAAGUGAGUUGUAGACCCUCAUUUUUUGUCUAAGUUUUUUUUUGGAGCAUAUUUUUACCACCCCGGGAAGAGCUGGCAGCUUGUUUUAGGAGUGGGGGCCGGUUUCCGGUGGAGCCACGCAUGCUGGGACGUGUGGCAAAGGACUUCCAUCUUGCCACGGGGGUGGUUGAGAGAGGGACGUCUCUGAAUAGAGGAUGAUGGCUGGCAUAGUGAGCUAAGCAUAGGAUGGACAGAGAGGCAGAUUGGAGUUGAAAAGCUGGGGGAGAGAAAGAGGGCAGGGGAGGGGGUGAUAUCCGGAGAGAAAAACAGAAGUUGUAAACUUCAUUGUCAACCCAAAACCAGAAAUUUCAUGUUAAAUCAUAUAAAUAUAACAUGCCGAUUAGAUUAGAUUAGAUUAGAAAAUGUAGACAAACCUGAAUCCAUUCACGGUCUUGAAAAAGUAUGGUUCUUGUAAGGCGAGGAGGAAACCACCUUGCGAUUGGAGACAAGAGAGGGAACAUUUCGUAUUUUCAAGAAAGAAAACUUAAAAAGACAUUUUCCUUUUUAUUAAUUUCUUCAAUGCAUUAGGACCAUACCCAUCGGGCUCUUGGCCAUAUUUGUCUUUCGUCCAUCACAUAAGACACAUAUAACUUAUGCUCUACACACUUGUGACCCAUACUUAAUAAAUAUAAAUUAAAUAUGUAUAGUUGGGUUAAUCAUAAACAAUUAUUAAUGUAUGUGAGUACAUAGCAUCUAACAGAAGUGGGACAGGGAUUUUCAGUUCCGGAGGGGGAAGGUUUUUCAGCAGGGGAGAGACCAGAUAAAAGGAAAAAAAAAAGAAAAAAAACAAAAGCUCGGAGAGCAAGAUUUCUAGAGAGAAAAAAAGAAGAGGAUCAAGAAGAGAAAACAAGAGCACUGACGUCAAUGUGGUUUCAUCCGCGUGUUGCUGCCCCUGCUCCGGUGGCUGCUGCCGCACCAAAAGCGGCUGCUUCUCUGGCUCCUCCUCCCUUUCCGGUAUCAACCGGUUCGUGGCACUGUUCGCCGUCCCUCUGCUUUCGUUUCCUUUCCUCUCUCCCAUUCGUCCCUCUCUUUCCUUCCCUUUCUUUCAUCUCCAUUUUCUUCCUGCGUGCCCACCUCUCACAUCCAGCACAUGUUGCUGCCCCUUCCACCAUACCCAUGCCUUCUUUGCCCGCCCAUGCCGCGACUCACAAAUUUCUAUUCCCAUCCCAUUUCUCCAUUCCCUCACUGCCAUCAUCAACGUGCAACCAUUGUCCCUCUCCAUCAGCUUGACAUCCAUUGAUCUUCGGAUUUGAAAGUGAGGUAAAGCCGUCAUUUGAUCUUCACAGUUGAUAUUUUGAGCAUUGGGUUUUAUUGGUGGGCUCUCAAGGCAUUGAGUUGUGAUUAUUUUUGGGCCUAAGUGGGCUUUAAGCUUUAUUUAUUGAGUUUAGGUUUGAUUAGUUUAUAUUCAUUUGGGCUUUUGUUUUACAUGGGCUUGACUGUUGACUGAAAGGCUUUCUUUUGGGAUAGAAAAUGAGGCUUGACAGGAGCACACGAGUACAUGGCUAUACAUGGCCACUCUUUAUUUAUUUAUUAAUUUAUUUUUUUGGUGUAAAAACUCAAAUUUUCAAAUAAUUUUCAAAACUCCAAUUUAUUUCAAAUUUAAUUUCCAAAACUCCAAUUCUCAAAUUUAAUUUUCAAAACUCCAAUUUUUAAAAUUAAUUUUCACAACUCCAAUUUUCAAAAAAAUUUCAAAACUCCAAUUCUCCAAUUUAAUUUUCAAAAUUAUUUUUUUUAAAUAAAUUCAAUUCUCAAACAAUUCUUCAAAAUUCAAAUUUUCAAAACUUCCAUUUUUAAAUAAUUUUCCAAAAUUCCAAUUUUCAAAUUUAAUUUUCAAGACAUCUCAAAUAAUUCUCCAAUAUUUAAUUUUCAAAACUUUCAUUUUCAAAUAAUUCUUCAAAAUUCCAAUUUUUAAAUAAAUUUCAAAACUCCAAAUUUUUUUCAAAUAGUUUUAAUUACACUCUAGUUUUCAAAUGAUUUUAAGUCCUCAACUUUCAUUUUUCAUUAGGGUUUUAGGUCACUAAAAAUCCCGAUUUUAAAUAACUUGCUACCUUUCUUUUCAAAUAAGCACUUUCACCAAUUUUCUUUGAUUUUAAAAUAAUUUUCUAUUUCUCUUGAUUUUAAAUAAGCAUGAAUAUGAUUUUCAUAAUUCUAAAAUAAUGGAGUUUAUGAGAUUAAUUCAUGCAAAAUCCUAUAGCAUGCUUGCAACUUCUUUAAAUAUAUGCAUUCUAUGGGAUGCAUUUAUGUUUCAUUUGCAAUAGGGUAGUUAAUACCAAGACAUUCCAACAAUGCAAGAAUAUAGCAAAAUCAGAAAUAAAUAAAUAAAUAAAACUUUCUCUAGUGUCAUUAUUUCUUUCUUUCUUUCUUUCUUUUAUGGUGACUAGCAGUAUUAUCAUCUUCUGAUUUUCAAUUACUUGAGGCUCAUGUGCAGAAGUGGUAGUAAGACUGAAUGAUGAUGUGUACUAAGUGAAAGUUUACACCCUCACAAAGGUUUGUAAUUAACCAUCACUUGCAUUGAGAUUCUUGCUUCAAAAGAACUUCUUAUAUAUACCCUUCUUUCUCAUUAUGGAAAAUGGUCUUCAUAUUUACGAAAGAUCUUUGUAACUUGCAUUAUAAUCUUUAAUGUUGGUAACUUCUUUCUUGAGAAUCAUUAUAACUUGAAUGGUGGUAACGUCUUUCUUCAAAGAAACUACUAGAGUUUCUUAUUACUCCUCCUUUAGAUUCACUCUAAAAGAACUAGAUUUACUUAUUAGUUGGACGUUAAGAGGAGAACUUUAUCCAAACUUUUUUCUUGAGGAUCCUUGUAACUUGAAUGUUGGUAACUUCUUUAUUCAAAGAAACUACUAGAAUUUCUUAUUACUCCCUUUUUAGAUUCAUUCCAAAAGAACUAUAUUUUAAAUUAUUUAAUUAAAAAAGAUAAAACGUCACACACGUAGAAAAAUAAUUUUAAUUUUUUUUUUAAAUGAUAUAACACCCUUCAUCAAUUUCCUUAUCCCCAUAUCACACUCAAAACAUUUUUCUAUUUUUCAAAAAAAUAAAAUGCUGGAACAAAAAUAUUAAAUUGAGGGGACAUUUAUAAUUUUGAAUAAAUGAAGGUGUGUGUUUUUUUUUUUAAUUUUUUUUAUCUGUAAGAUACUUAAACCAAAAUUUUCAUACAAAAUAAAAACCAAAUUUAUUUUUAAAAAUUCUGGAUAACUUUUGUUAAAAAUAAAUUUAAACUACCUUACUAAUUACUAUUGUGUAACCUGGAUGAGAGAAUUCACUGUAAAAUAGCAAAGUUGUGAUAAAAAAAUAAUAAUAAUAAUCAAUGUUAGGAUUUUAUUCUUUUUCUUUUUUGUCAAGAAAAUUUAAAUAUAAAAUUUUCUAAUAACUUAUUACUCAAAAACAAAAUCAACAACAUAAAAUCACUUUAUUUGGAUAUAAUAGAAAUUAAUAUAAAAAUUCUUUCGCAUAUAACCGCUAUUUUCACCUUAAAAUUGAUCUAUUUCUCCAUAAAAUCAUUCCAUAAUUUUAUAAAUUUUUCAUUCAAAAAAAUAAAAUAAAAUAACAACACUGAAAUCACAUUUAAAAAAACAAGUUUUUUUUUUAGACACAUUGAAAAGAAAUACAUAAAUUGUACCUUUUUCUAGAUACAUUGAUCUGCUUGGCCAUUAAAAAAAAAAUACAUAAUCAUACUACUUAUCAUUUCACUGUUGUUGGGGUUGAAAAUUGGAAUCCCCAUCACUCUUUGGCUUUAAAUCCUGCGUAUCUCCUUUACUUCCGCAAGGAAAUCCCUGACCAAAAAGAGGGCAAAUUAAAGAUAAGUGAGGACACUGAGGAGCCAAAAAGGGGAAAAAUUUACUACUCAAUUAAAGAUCAAUAAUGAAGCAUGCAUAGCCUUAUAAGAGUAAAUUAAGUUUCAAAGUAAAAAAAGUAAAAAGUAAAAGCGGGUUUUACUUUAAUAAAAAUGUUUUUAGAAAAAUUAUCGAUUAAGUUUUUCUUCAAAACACUAUAAAUAAUUUUUUUUGACUUUUUAAAAAUAUUUUCUAAAUUUUGUUUAUUAUCUUAUUUGUAUUCAAAAAUAAUUUUUAUGCUAAAAAUGUUUUCUAAAAAUACCGUGAAAGGAAGUCUUAAAUUACAUUACAUUAUUUUGGCGCCUCCUCCAAAUGUGUUGCCAAAGGAAUUUGAGCUCAUUCUUUCUUACGGGCUUGACUAGGAAGUCGGUUGCACCCUUUGACAAACACUUGAGCACCAAGGCGCCGGAGUCAUGUGUAGACAUCACUGCAUGCAACCCAAAUCUCAUCUCAUCAAAUUUAAAUACCAGUUGCUCAAAAAUAUCCCACACAAUGUGGCAUCAAGUCAGAAGGAUCGAUGGAAGAAGGAGCGCAAGAUAUACUCACUAAUUACUGGAAUAUUUUUGCGGGUUUUGUGGUUCAUAAUCUUGCAUAGCAGUGCAAUACCUGAUAGACGAGGUAAAUUCACCUCAGUUAAUACAAGAUCAAUAUGAUUGCUUGUAUCUUUUAAUAUCCUCCAUGCUUGCAAUCCAUUCGAUGUUUCUGUAACUGUAAAGCACCAAAUUGAACGUUGGAGACAGCACAAGCAUAACCCAAGAAAUUAAGACCAUAUUUGGUAAUUAUUUUUGAAAGCCAUUUUUUAUUUUUUGUUUUGUUUUUAAAAAUAGAAAUAUGGUAAUUUUAGAUAAUAUUAUUUAAUUAUUUUUUUAUAAUUGUUUUAAAAAAAUAAUGACAUAAAUACGAAGAAUGCGCAAAACUGAUUUUUAAAAUUGUUUUCGAAAAUGCUUGUGAAAGAUAGUGACACUAGCUACACCCAUGUAUGCCAUAUUUGUUGAGAAGGAUAGAACUAGAAGCAGAGAGAGGGAGAUGAGUGAUGAUGACUAACCUUGAUAGCCACAGUUGCGAAGCAAAGCACCGAUUACAUAGCGCGUAGAAUCAUCAUUUUCCACCAGCAGAACACGAGAUUUCAUGAGGACCAACGCCUCGUAACAAUCCAUGGACUCUUCAUCAUCACUAACAUCGUCACCUUCGCCGUCUGCAGAGGGAACCUCAUCUCCAUCCCUAGCUUUAAUAUCCUUCCCAUCUUCCCCGCACUGACCCGGAUCAGGUAACCCUAUCUUUCCAUCACCGUUCAUGUUAACAGUCCCGUUAAAUCACACCAAACCUUGCCCCCUACAACUCACUCUUUAUCUUUACCCUGCAACAACAUCACAGCACAACCCUUCCUCCAUCAAGACAAUAACUUACUACUAUGGAAACUAAACUUAGAGGAUAAGGAUUUUUCAAAAGAUCAAAUUUAAAAUUUUUGAGAAUUUUGUUGUUGAGGAGGGAAUGUUCUUGGAGAAAGAUACUAUGGGUGUGUGCAUAUAGAUAGUGAUUAAUGUUUGAGAUAGACAGCAGCUCAAGGUGUGAGUUCACCAGAUAAGCUCAGACUCAAGAGUAGACUUAGUAGUUCAGAUUCCGGAUAAAAUUAAGUUAAUGCUUUUGGCUUUUUGAGUUAAGAGUCCAGACAAAAUAUUUGAAGAAAAGUUUUUACUUAAAGACAAACGAAAUUAAAACAGCUGUUUUUAAUUGAGUGAUAGUUGUUUUUCCCAUUUUAGAUGUAAGCUUUCAUAUGUAAAUAGAGGUGAUAAUUCUUCUUCGUAUGUCAUGUUCAUUUUGUGUCAUAACAUCAAGUAUUAAUUAAACCAAGUGAGUUAUCCCAUAUACGACAUGAUUAAUGAUCAUGUUAAAAUAUGAGUCUGUUUGACAGUAAUUUUAAAAAAUAUUUUUAAUCUUUUUAAUAAUUAGAAAUUUUUAUUUAAAGAAUUAUUUUUAAAUAUUAGAAAGAUUAAAAACAUUUUUUAAAAUUAUUGUCAAACAAAUUCUAAAUAUGAACAAAACUUGAUUAUUAAACAUGUAACGCAACACAAUAUGCAUAAUCUAUUUAAUUAUCAAGUUGAGUAAGAUUAUAUCUGUGUCAGUGUGUUGUUAAUUCAAUGUAUUUAUAACUUAAUCACCCUAUUUGGUAAUUAUGUUAAAAAGGUUUAUUUGAACUUGAAAUGGGGUAAAUUGAAUGUUAGCCUAUUUGCCCCCUAAUCUUUAAUAAAUCUAAAAUAAUAUUAUUUUUAAAUAUUUUAAGCAUUUUAAAAUUAAGAGAAAUAUUCAUUUUUAGAUGAGUCAAACCUAAGCUAAAUGGGUGUUUAAAUUGUUUAACAUGAUAUGAUUAUUAAAUAGAUUAUUUUGGAUCAAAUUUGAGCACAUGGUUUGACUUAAAUAUGAACUAUUUAUUAAAUAAAUUAUGUGCAUUAACAUGAAUUUGACUUGAACACGAUUAAGUUCAACCCAAAUCCAUAAAAAGCAAGUUGAGUUUGAGUUAGGUUUAUGAAUUACGUCAAAUUUUGUCACCUCUAAUUAUAAGUAAAAUUUUCUUUCUUAAUUCAUUGCAUUGCAUGCUAAGUAAAACUGAGAUCAUCUUGUCAAUCUAACACUAAUUUUCUGAAUUUUGGUAAACAAUUUCUUAAAAAUAAUGAUCAAGAAAAGGUUAGGAUCUAUGUUUUCAGAAGGACAACAAUGAUAUAUAAUUGAUAAUUUUGAUGCCCUUUUCAUAUGUUGAAGAUAUGAAUGAUUGUAGCUUAUUUGAGACCAAGGAUUGUGGCCAGGAGAAUUUGAAGUAUGCCAGUGGCUUAUGACCACAUUUUUGUUGUAUGAUUCAAAGUAAAAAAUAAAAAACAUCAUAUCAGCCAUGAUGUGAUUGGAAAGGGGGGAAUCUUACUCAAUUGAAAUCUAUGAUAAUAUGUGUGUAUCUCUUCUUUCAAGUAGUACCUUGAACAAUAUAGGAAAAAACUUUAUAAAUUUAUAGUUUGAGUUCAAAAAUAAUUUUAUGUUCUUCAAAACAAAAUAAGUAAAUAUUUUUUAUAACUAAAAAUCAUUUUCUAUUUUCUGUUUUUAAAUAAUAGAAAAUAAAAUGUUUUUAAAUAAUAUUUUUUAGUUAUUUUCUGUUAUUUUUUACUUGUUUUAAAAAUGAUUAAAAAUAAAAUAUUAGAUAUAAUUUAAAAAUAAGUUAAAAAUAUUUUAGGUGUUCAAAUAGAUUUUUAUUUUAUGAAAUAUUAAAAAAUUAUUUUUAAAAAUUAUUUUUUAGAGUUGCUUUUAAAAAUAAUUACAAAACUGGUCUAAGCUACCAGUAAAAACUAGUAGUAACAAUGUGGGAUGAUGGUAUGUUGAAAAAAUAAUAUGAGAUGAUGGUAGGUCACUUUUUUUAAAAGAUAAAAAGGGAUUAAACAUGUUGGAGUGGAUUCUGAAAGUAGUGAAUCAUUCACAUGGAGCAGUUCAGAAGGGACGGACACCUAAUUUAUUCCACAGUACAUGCUACCAAACAAAAGGAAAAGUGUUGAAGAAAGAAGAAAACUGAGGUCGUUUCUAUCAUUCACAUGGCCCAAAUUCAACAAGGACGAGCUAAUUAUUCAAUCAAGCUCACUCUUCCCCUUUAAAAGGGACUUGAGGAGGAAUGAGGAUGGGCAGGCCAUUUGUAUUACAACAUGAAAAAGUUAAAAAACUUUAGGGAGAUGGAAAGGAAUCUUGGUUACCCACUACUCUACUAGUUACUAGAAUGAUGUUUAAAGGAGAGGUUGGAGGGUGUUUGGCUAAGUUGGCAAAUGCCAAACCAGUUCCAUGUGACAAAUGACAAUGGUAUUUAUUCCAAGUGCUUGUUUCAAAAAAGAAAUCAUUGGUGCCAUCAUGUCAUAAUGGAAAAAUAACAACCGAUAAGACCCCAUAAAAAAAAAUAAAAAUAAAAAUCUAAGAGUUUGAAAUAUAAAAAAAAAUGCUAAAAAGUAUUUUAUCAAUAGAAAUCCACAUCUAAAUUAUUGAAUUUAUAUUGAGAUUAUGAUUAAAAAAUAAAAAUUUUAAAAUGUUACGUGAUACCAGUUGAUUGAUAAUGCAUUUUCAAUAUAGUACCAAAAAAAAAUACUAUUUGAUAUAGUAAAGAAACCCAAAAUAUAAAAAUAGAUUGUCAAAACAUGAGGGUAAAUACAAUUUAACAAAGACGUACAUAUGAUAGACAUGUUUUGAAGCACAUUGAGAUCGUAAUAUUAAGGUCUUUACAUCUGAAGAGAGUUCUUCAUCACAUCAUUUCUUUCACUCCCAAUGGACUUAAAUGUUUGUUUGAAUACCUUUUUUUUUUCGGUUAAAAUAAAAAAUAGUAAUAAUUUUUAUAUAAAAUAUAACAACUUUUAAAAAUUUACCAUGAAAUAUAAAAAAAAAUUAUUAUUUAAAAUUUAAAAUUUUUUAAAGUCACUUUUAAAAACAUAAUUAAUAUAGAUAAUCACUUUACGUGCACAAAGUUCUACUUUUUAUAUAAAAUAAACUGCUAUUUUUUUUACUUUAAAAAUUAAAAAUAGAAAAUAUAUUCAAAUGGGCACUAAGAAUAAUAGUUUUUGAACCUUUUGUUGGGCAAAAUGAUAGUAACAUUUUGAAAAUCAAGAGCAAUUUUUUUUCUCCUGCAUUUGGAAGCAGUUCCUCAAAAUUUAUAGUCCCAGGUAGAUAAGAUAGCUAAGAGGAAAAUAACUCCAUUCUACGUAAACCACAACCCUAAAUAUAGGGUGUGCAUAUAUUCAAGUAUUCAAUAAUUCUUUGGCUAUAUUCCUGGAAAAUGCUGAGAAAAAAAAAUGUUAAAGAAAAUGAUUUUUUUUUUUAUAUUGGUUGUAUUAAAAAUAAUAAAGAAAUAUAUAAUUAAUUUUAAUAUAAAAUUUAUUUAUUUUAAAAUUAUUUCAUCUUGAUAUAAAAGGGUUAAAUAAAUGAAAUAAGUUUGAAAUAAGAUAUAAAAAUAAUUUAUUAGCUUUAAUUUUUUUUCUUAUACUUUUCUUCUCUAUUUUUUUCCUUAUAUUUUUCUCUUAGGUUGUAUUUGAUUUCCAAAAAAUACCAAGAAAAGAAAAAAAAUAUUAAAGAAAAUGAUUUUCUCAUGUUUGAUUGUCCUAUGAAAAAUAUAAAAAAAAAUCAAUUAUAAUUAAAAUUGAUUAAAAUUAAAUUUAUAUAUUUUUGAAUUAUUUUAUCCUUACAUCAAUAAACUAAAUAAGUGAAACGAGUUUGAAAUAAUAAACAAGAAUAGUUUAUUGAUUUUAAUUUUUUAUAUUUUUUCUUUUUUUUUAUUUUUUCUUUAUAUUUUAUUUUCCAUAUAUUUUUUCUUAAAAUUUUUGGGAACAAACAUAAUCUUAAACUUUCUGAAAAUCAAACAUAACUUUAAUGUUUUACUAACAAGCCCAUUAUCAAAUAGGAUGAAUGAUAGUUUGAAUAAGAAAGGUGACUUUAUUUAAGGCCAAGUAUGUUUGUGUAACUCUUUCUAGAAGGCUAGAAAUGUUGUCCCAAAGAUUUUUCAUAUUUUUUCCAAUUUCAAUUCUAUGAUUAUCUUGGGGCACUAAAAACUAAAAAGCAAAGGAUGUGCAAGUUUCUUUUGUAUUUUUUAUUUUUUAUAUACGAGUUAUGUAUGUUGUUUCUUCUACCUGGUAGUAAAGCUUGACGUGACCCAUCGUCACAUGUGAUAAAGACAGAAAAAUUAGGCCAAAAAUAAACAGCAGUGCGAAUGGAGAAUUCCGGAAAACAAGGUGUGUGCUCUAAGAAAACAGUUCCCAUGCGGUGGGGUUCACCAUUGAUUGAGGUGUUGAAAUUAGCGAGAAGCUUUAAGUCUUUUCUUGUUCUGUGAUUGAGUUACUAUAAUGAUAUACAUCGUCACUCUCAUUCUUAUACUUUGGUUGUUUUACGUAUAAUAAAAUACAUCGUACAAAUGACUCAUCUAUCUGCUGUACGAGAAUAGUGAAUUGCAGAUCUUGACCAAAAACAGUUCACAAAAUGACUUAGGUCUAUAUUAGAAGUAAUGUAAGAUGCGUUUCUUAUUUAUUCAACCAUCAAGGAUUCACCACAGCACCAUGAAAACCCAACAUUCAUUCAGCAAAAUGAUUACAUAACUUGGAUUUCAUAAUAGAAGAGUACUAUCAAAAUGAUUGUCACUCCCAUUGCCACUUCCACCCUUGAAAGCAGAGCUCCGACUAUUACCUUCAGAGUGCAGGGAAGAAGAGAAUAAAAGAUCUUGGGAGGGAGAUGAAGGUCAAUGGCUAAGGAUUAAUGAUAAAGCUGCAUGCGAUGGUGAUUCGAGAGUAUUGGUACUAACUCUAUGCAUGUGCUGCCGAUGGAAAAGGAUGAGGCUACAGGUUUAAUUGAUGUCGUGCUACUUCAUAAAUAUAGUUAUGAAGGUUUAUGUACUCCAUUUUUCACGUGGGACAAUUCCUAAGAUGUGGUUAUGAGUCUAAAUUUUGUGGAUUCUCUCAUAUGAAAAGCAGAGCCUACAAACCUUCAUAAUUGCAUUAAUGAAGGAACAGCAUGAUGAUUAAGCGUGUAGCCUAAUCCUUUUCCACCCGCAGCACAUGUAUAGAUAGCAUGAUCAAUGGCAACUCCUAGUAAAUGUCUUUCUCUCGACCACCAUCACAUGCAAUUCUAUCGUUAAUCCUCGACCUUUGACUCUCAUCUCCUUUCCAAAAUCUCUCAUUCUCUUCUUCCUUAUACUUAGAGAAAGAAAAUAUCCAGGAUGAGUAUAAAUUUAAAAAGAACUGCAUGGGAAGGACUUGUUAUACCUUGCCGCAAAGAGAACCCACGAUGACUGAUUCGACAGAUGAAGGUGAAGUUGGUGAAAAGAUGGUGGCGAGGGUGGCUGUAGUGGUUGGCGGUGGAGAGUAGUGACGGCGGACGGAUCAUGUGGAGCUGUAGUGGCCUGGUGCGUCGUUGCGAAGACGAGAAAGGGUGGGUUUGGAAGGGUCAUCGGAAAUGAAGGUGGGCUGAUCAUACUCCGAGAUUAAUAGGGUUUGAUGUGGUGAAGACGAUGUGUAAGGAGAGAGUAGAGGUCGGGUUCCCCCACCCCACCCCCAGCACACGCUCUCUUCCUGCCAUGAUGUUGUAAAUUUAUAAUCAUCUUAAAAAUUAAAAUAAAAUUCAUGUUUGGGCCAAAAACGUAUAUUUGGUUGCACUUUUUUCAAAAGUUUUUAUUUAAAAAUCAUAUAGGGAAAUUUGUUUUUUUUUUUAAAUUUGAUGUCAAAAUUUAUUAUAAAAAAAAAGUAUGAUUUUUUUUUUAUUCCAAAAUCCUUUUCAACAAAUUUUAAAAUGGAGAAUUAAUAUAUAUCAAUAUUCUCAUAAUCGGACCAAUUAUUAAACCAGAAAAGUUAUAAGUUAUUGGUUUAUAAUUGACCGAGUUGAAGGUUGAACUACAGUCAAAUUAGUGAUUUCAUAAAUAUAUAAUGUAUAAUUUGUAUAUUAUAUAAAAUUAAAAAUAAUAAUAAGAAAAUUAAAAUAUAUAAUUAAAUUUUUUAAUAAUAUUUCAUUUUUAUAUUUGAUAUAUGUAAUUAAAUGAUAAAGAUAAAUAUAAAUGUAUUAAUAUUUUAAAUUUUAUUAAAAACAACAUAUAUAAUAUUUAAGUAUGAAGAUAUGUUUAAAAUGUAAAGAAAAUUAUAAUAUUUAAUUUUAUUUUUAUGUCUUUGUAUUUUAUUAUUUUAAAAUUAUUAUAUUAAUUAAUUUAUGUUAUUUUCAUUAUUAUAACAAAAAUAAAUGUGAAUGUAAAUAUUUACAUUUAUUUAAAUGUUUUAUAUGAUAAAAUACAAAAUAUGUGAAUAUAAAUAUUUACAUUGAUUGGAUAAAAAUUUGAAAAAAAAAAAAAACAUUAGUAUUGUUAUAUAAUUUGAUUUGCAAAAUCAUUUAAUGAAAAUGCUCAAUAGUUCAUGGUCGUAUAUGUGUUAUAUAAAAAUGUUGGGCUUGGUGAAAGAUGGGUUAAAUGGUUUCAUGAGUGAACAAGCCUUGCAUGCAAUGGUUUUGGGCUUGAGCGAUCAAUUUGAACGGAACCAACCAAUUUUGCCCGAUUUGAUAGUUCAACCGUCAAUCGUUCUAUACUAAUUAAAUAAUAAAAUAGUCCAUUAGGGCGAACUAAACAAGAAAAGUCGUCAUUUGACUAUUGGACUAGUCGGUUCGAUCCGAUUUUUAAAUUAUUUACUUUUUGACUUAUUAUUAAUCCAUCCCAUAUUGGAAAUUAAUGAAAUAUAUGUGUUGUAUAAAAAUCUUGCAACCACCUUGAGCUUUCAAAGUCAUCAUGCGUGUUGAGCUUGGUGACAAAUAGGUUAGAUAGGUUUCACCCUUGAAACGGCCUUAGAAUGGUUUACCCAAAUGGUCCAACCAUCGAUCCAAAUAGUUCUAUUCCAAUUCAAUAAUAAAACAGUCCGUAAGGGCAAAUUGGACUGAAAUUUUUUAAAAAAGUCACCAAUUGUCACUCAGUUAGACUAGUUGAUCUAAUUUGACUUUUAAAACAUUGAUAUAUAUUAACAUUUUUUAUUUUUUUACCAAACUACAUUAUCAGUCCUUCAACUAUAAAUAAAAGUUUCUUAUUUAUUGUUUUAUGAUUAUGAAACAUGUUUUUGCUUUUUAGUUUUUAAAACAAAAAAUAAAAUUACCAAAUAUGCUUAAGAGACCUCUUUACAUAAAUCAAAUAGAAAAAUAAUCAUGGUUGGCCUAAUUAGCAUUUGAUGGACAAGACAAGUGAUGCAAAAUUUCUAACCUUCCUCUCCUCAUCUUCUUACAAAUUCAAAGGAAAAGACAUUAAAGUGAUAAGAUUCGGUUUGGACGUACCAAACUUGUUGGCGUAACUACAUUGAUAAAUGAUAUCAAAUUAAAGUCCAUUAAGGUAAAUUGGAUCGAAAAAGUCACCAAUUGUCAAUCAGAUAGAUUGACUCAUUUGGCCUAACUUUCAAAAUAUUGAUACAUAUUAACAUUUAUUUUUCUUUGCCAAACCGCAUUAUCGGUCCUUCAACUAUAAAUAAAAGUUUUUUAUUUAUUAUUUUAUGAUUAUGAAACAUGUUUUGCUUUUUAGUUUUUAAAACAAAAUAUAAAAUUACCAAAUAUACUUAAGAGACCUCUUUACAUAAACUAAAUAGAAAAAUAAUCAUGGUUGGCCUAAUUAGCAUUUGAUGGACAAGACAAGUGAUGCAAAAUUUCUAACCUUCCUCUCCUCAUCUUCUUACAAAUUCAAAGGAAAAGACAUUAAAGUGAUAAGAUUCGGUUUGGACGUACCAAACUUGUUAGCGUAACUACAUUGAUAAAUGAUAUCAAAUUAAAGUCCAUUAAGGUAAAUUGGAUCGAAAAAGUCACCAAUUGUCAAUCAGAUAGAUUGGCUCAUCUGGCCUAACUUUCAAAACAUUGAUACAUAUUAACAUUUAUUUUUCUUUGCCAAACCGCAUUAUCGGUCCUUCAACUAUAAAUAAAAGUUUUUUAUUUGUUAUUUUAUGAUUAUGAAACAUGUUUUUGCUUUUUAGUUUUUAAAACAAAAAAUAAAAUUACCAAAUAUACUUAAGAGACCUCUUUACAUAAACCAAAUAGAAAAUAAUCAUGGUUGGCCUAAUUAGAAUUUGAUGGACAAGACAAGUGAUGCAAAAUUUCUAACCUUCCUCUCCUCAUCUUCUUACAAAUUCAAAGGAAAAGACAUUAAAGUGAUAAGAUUUGGUAUGGAUGCACCAAACUUGUUGGCCUAGCUACAUUCAUAAGUUAUAUCAAAUUAAAGUCAUUCACACAAGAAAUUUUUAUAAAUCAUGUGAUGAAAUAAAAUAAUAUAUGUGGUACACCAACAAUACAUUUUUGCUUAUUAGAGAAACAAAAGUGGGGUGAAUAGUAAAAUUGUGUUUUUUUUUAUUUGUCUUGAUAUUUCGAAUUUUUUGGGACAAAAACAUGUGAUUAGGCGUAGUCCAUGAAUCUUAUACAUGGGGAAUCAAAGGAUGGGCCAAUUAUAACUUAUGAAGUAUUUCUUUACUUUCCUUGUUUCUUAAUUGUCAUAAGAAAGAUGGCAUUUCUACCCUUUUAAGUUGAUGAAAUAGGAUAUUAUUAUUAUUAUUAUUAAGAUGGAAUCAUUAUAGAUUUCCUACCAUCUCCACAUUGUUUAGGCUUUUAGAUGAUGCUAUAAAGGAACAAGUGCAGCUAUUAGGACUAUUUAAUAAGGAAAAUUUAUUACGUGGAAAGGGGAUGAUACAUAUUAUUUGACUAGAUAAGUGGUAUUUGGUUUCUAGUCUUUGCGAUACGUAUUACUGGAAGGUGGUGUUGCAUACACCAAGGUUUAAUGAAGCUAGGGACAUGGAUAGCACUCGUCUCAAGUAAGUUUCUUGAUCUUAAAAUUUGAAAUCAACAAUGACAUAGAAGUUAUGCCUACAGAUAAGAAUAUGAAUCUUAACUAGCUAAAUUCGUAUGGGCAAAGGGGAAAAAGCUAGCUUAUAAAAGGAAGGGCACACAUUUUUCUAAAUGAAAGAACAUUUGCUCCUCAACAAUUGAUCUAAAAAGUCCCACAACUCCUUAAGUGCAUGAAGUGGCCUCCAAAAACUAUUUUUAAGUUUAAUUGUAUAUAUAACUCCGGAAGGGUAAGAAAAUACUUGAAGGUUUUUUAAAAGUCUCAAAUUUAUCUUUAACUUAUUUAUCUUCAACUCAAACUAGUUCGAGUAAAAAAUUUGCUCUAUUGUCAUCCCUAACAAAAAAAAACUAAAAAGCAUUUGAAACUCAACCUCACAUUCAAAUAUCAAACCUUCUCUCUCUCUAGACUUCUCCAUUUCUUCUUGGGGUGGUAUUGGACAGGUGGCUUCUUGUAUGCCAGUAAGAUUUCUCGACUGUGGUAUUGGUGGUGAGGCCAAGAACAUAUAGACAUUGUUUCUCUACCACCAUUGUCUAAGGUUUUUUCUAAGGCACCUGAAAUUUGAGGAAAUAUGAGAUGGAUAUGUUAAAGAAAUAUUUGUAUUGAAGGACAAUAUAUCUCACAUGUGAAAAAAUAAGUUUCAUUUAUUGAAAAUUGUAAAUAUAAUCUCAAUUUGACAUUUUUACCCCUAUACUUUAAAAAAGAAAAAAAAAACUUGAAUUUUAUAUGAGGAUAAAAAAAAUUGAUGAAGAAUAUAUUUCGUAUUUCCAAUAGAUAGAAAUUAUUCUUUUAAAUGUGUAAGUAUUUCAUCCCUUUUAACUAAAUAACCUUAUAUUAAAAGGGAGAACCAAGAGGGAAUGUUAUGUUUGUUUCAAACAAAAUCAAAUGGUCAUGCAAUUUCAUGAUGUAAGGAAAGCUAUAUUUAUAAUUUACUUUAAAUAAAAUAUUAUUAUCUAUUUUUUACAAAAAAAAAAAAGAAAACUAAUUUAUGGUUUUAUUAAAAUAUUAAUAUCUAUGUUAUAUAAUAUUUACUAAAAUACUAUUAUUUUUUAACAAAUUUAUACUUUUAUUAUAAACAUUAGGAUUAGUAUUUUAAUAUAUAUUGAGUUUACAAAUUUUUUACAAAAUAAAAAUUAAAAAAAUCCAAAGUUUUUUUUAAAGAAAAAAAUUCUUAGAAAAUAACUAAAAAAAUCUUCCUUUUUUUUAAUCUUGAAAACAAAAUUUUAAAAGUAAGUUUCAAAAAAUAUAACCAAACAGGUCAUUAGUGUUUUUCUAAAAAAAAAAAAAAAAAGGAGUUUCAUGCUCAUGCAACUUUACUGACCAAUUUGCAACAAGUAUUUAUUUUAUUUUAAAAUAAUAUUAUCUCCAUUAAAUCUUUGUAAAAUCCAUCUUAUUAACUAUUAAAUAAAUAAAUAAAUUCUGAAUACGAAGACACCUGUCGGUUUUCACUUUUCAUUUUGGAAAAACAAUCAUAGCUGAAAUAAUGUAUGGCAGCAAGAUUUGCAAAACCUGGACCAAUCGGAUCACAGGUAAAAAAAUGAAGAAGGGAAAAAAAAUGUCUCCACUCUCUCCCAACAGCCAACGAUCGUCAUUACGUGUUUCUGAGCAUCCAUGGCGAUUUCUCUCUCCACUACGAUCUUGCCCAACACCAUCCAACGCAGGAGAAUCACCAUUCUCCCUUCGCCACGUGUGAGUCGCAAUCUCGGCUUUUCCCUCUCCUUCAGACCCUGCAACGAAAGCAUCGAACUCUCUUCAUCGAGAAGAGUCAUCACAGCCUCCGCCGCCUCCGGUUCUCCUGGCAAGUUCCUGACUCUUCCUUUAUUUUGUUGCGAUAAAAAAUGCCCAAGAAAAAAAAAAGAGAGAAUUUUGAAUUACUGUUAUUUGUUGUUUUCCUUUUUCUUUCUCGGUGACCAAACAGAGAAUUCAACCAAUCCAAAUAGCCGUGUAUGCGGCUUAUUUAAAGGGAAUUAUUUUGUUUUACUGAUUUUUAAAGAAGUUUAAGAUUGGAAUUUUUAUUUUUUCUUCUCGGGUUCAAUUUCUGAGCACCAAACAUAGCGUAAGUUAAAUUAAAUGCUAUUAGAGAGGUAAAUUACAUCCAGUCUUCGGAAGACGUGAACUGGUUUGAAGGCACUUGAUAAUUGAACGUGUUAAUGUAACCAGGAAUUGAAUCUUCCACUGUUAGUGAUGAUACCACGAACUUAUUGGAUAGAGCGCAAGUGUUUGAUUUGAAUGGAAACGGGAUUCCAAUUUCUGAUUUGUGGAAAGAUAGAAAAGCUGUGGUGGCAUUUGCUCGCCAUUUUGGGUGUGUUCUGUUUUUCAGUUUUAUGCAUCCAAUUCAUUAUGAACCUUUGCUUAUUAAAGCUUCCAGAAGCACUUGCACUGAUCACUCUAUUUAUUUCCUUUAUAUUGUUCUUGAUUAUUUACUGCAGAUGUGUUUUUUGCCGCAAACGGGCUGAUUUGCUUGCCUCUCAGAAGGUAAUGAUGCAUAAGCAGGAUGUUUCAUCAUCAUUGUAUGGGCUGUCCUUCUUGAUUUUUAGAUUGAUUUAGCAUUGGUUAGUUUCACAAAAAGUGGGGUGCUCCGGAUUUAUUUGAUACCCCACAUCUGGGAGGCAAGAACUUUUGGAAAAUACUAGAGGAAUUCCAUAUCCACCGAGUGUUUUUCUUGAUUUUUAAUAUUGUCUUGUACCAUGGUUUUCUAGAAAUGCCAUUAGGAUAGGAAGGUUACUUCUGUUUCAGUAGGGAUUUUUUAUGUUCCUUUUGGUGAUGGUGGAUGUUCUUCCACCUAAAUAUUUGCAUUAAAUCCUUCAUUAAACACUUGUUUUCUUUUAUUUUUCUUUCUUUUUUUCUUUGCUUUUCUUCUUUCUUAAAAAAAAAAAUUUGCCUUGGUUUUUGGGUUGGAUGAGAUCAUGAGACCACUCAUUCCCACUUGCAAGUGACGUCUGAACUCUGUACCACAAAACCCAAAAUCAAACCGAUGGUUGUUGAAUCUUGUGCUUGCUUACCGUAGGGAGAUUGGCCGGCAUCCUCUGAGACUAUCAAUGGAAAGUGUUUCAUUUUUGACAGCAAUUCAUCAUUUAAUAUCAUGGUUCUAAUUUGUUGACAGGAUAGAAUGGAUGCAUCUGGGGUGGCACUAGUUUUAAUUGGACCUGGUAGCAUUGAUCAGGUAUAUACUGAGAAAGCUUAUUGAGUUGUUCCUUAAUAUUUGUGAUCGCAUAUCAGCUAAUGUGAUGAGUAAUAUAUAUGGUGAUGGGAUGUAACAGUAUUUGUUGGACUCUUCUUAUUUUUAAUUGCAGUUUAACAAAAUUUCAGGAAAGUUUGACUAUCAAAUUUGGGUUAACAAGGACCGCCUUCAUAAUAAAACUUGUUGUAGUCAUUGAACAUAUCUUGCUAAACAUGUAUUUCUUUCUGCUUCUUCACUGGAAUUGAUUUCUGCAAGCCUCAAAUUGCAAAAAAUUUUCUUUCAUUGCUUCAUGCUAAUACCAUGUACCUUUUUUAUAACCAUUAGCAAUAAUUUUGAUGUAGGCAAAAGCAUUCUCUGAGCAAACAAAUUUCAAAGGAGGUAUGAUUCUGAAAAAACUUGAUAAGUCUCUCAUGGAUCUCCACGAGGCCAAUUUCAAAUGGCAACAUGUGUAUCAUGAGAAGUAGUAAUCCUUACUGCAAGAGAGUAAUUUCUUAGGGUUUGUCUUAUCACUCGUUUGUUAUGCCAUCUCACAGCGAUGAGUCUCCAUAACCAAAGCAAAGUUUUUACUGCUUUAAAGUAGUAAUGAGCGUGCUUGGCUAACUCGGAUUUGCCUGUUCACCUUGUGGAGAUUUCAGGGGUCCAUCCAGAAGUUGUUGACAUUUCUUACCUUUUGAUCUCUUCUGAAAUGUAUAGUUUCUACAAUAGUUUUGUGUUUCUCCUUGUUGCUGCUAGGUAAUAGAAUCUGUUGUUGGUUUCAGAAGUGUACGCAGAUCCUAGCCACUCGUCAUAUGAAGUACUGGGAUUUGUUUCUGGAGUUUUAAGCACAUUUACUCCCCAGGUACUUAAGAAAUGCUGUGUUACGAAUGCACACAUUCUAUCUCCUUGUUUAAUUAUAAGAAUGCUAGCAGCUUAUACAUGUGAUAGUCUCAAUUUUUGGGGUUUUUUAAACUGCAUUUAGCUUUAGUUUCUAAGUUGCUUCCAUAACAUUUUAGGCAGGUUUAAAGAUUAUACAAUUGUACAUGGAAGGUUAUCGACAGGACUGGGGGCUUUCCUUUCAAAGGGAUACCGUGACAAGAGGAGGCUGGUAUGUAAACUAUCUUGAUAAGUGUUAUUAGAAUCAUGCCUGCAUGGUUAUGAUGGGAUUCACAAAUCCUCACCUUGUAAAAGAAAUGUUAAAUUUUAAACUCCUUAAAACUGUGUCUUUUUAUUUUUUAUUUUUUUAUUAUAGCCAAAAAAAUUAGAAAGAUAUUAAGAAGAGCCUUACAAAAUAGAAGUGCAAUUCACAGAGCAUCAAAGGAAAAAAAAAAGGAUAUAAACACAAUAAUCAAAGGGCUGAACAUCCUAACCCUGACCCAAUCCCUCUAUAGAUCAAAAAGAGAGAGGUCAGUCCCCCACAGGAUCCUAGCACAAUCCAAAAAAGGUCCAAGGAGAAAUUCCUUCAACACCUGAGCUGAGACUCCUUUCUCUUGAAGCUCCGUGAUUUUUCUCCCUCCAUAAGCACAAGAAUAGACAGAAAGGAGGCAUCCUCCAAAUCCUUCUGGAUAUCUUCCCCCCACCAGUACCAUGCCCUUAGAAUGUAAGUCUUUCAAUCAUGUUAUCAUAGAGAAUUAUACUCAAUACAGCAUACCUUUAAAUUAAAUGAUGAACAGAAAAUCAGAAGUGCGACAAGAACAGACUAGUUGAUAUCUUCCACUAACUGAAUGCCUCUUAACAUUCCUCAACACGUUUGUGGUGACAACUUAUAACUUGAGUUGAUAACCCCUACAUGCUUAAUAAAAAACCCUAUCUAAACCAUUCAAAAUAUAUUAUGCUUCAAUUACAAAUUUCCAUGUGAAGUUUACUUUUUUAGCCGUUCCCAUGAUGUUUCAUUUGAAUAAAGUGAUAGUAGCAGCAGUAAAUGUACACAGAACUGCCAGAAAAAUCUUGCAAUAGCCUGUGCCCAUUUCAGUGGGCUAAACUAUAAAAUUGCAUGGCAUUGACAUAGAUUCUAGUUAUACCUACUACUUACUUUUUGCUAGCUUUGUUAUAUGUAAGUAUUUUGCUGUAUUACCCAAAAUGAGAACUAAUGAUGAUAGCCAGAAUAUGUUCUUCUCAAGGCCAAUCUCAAUACCUUCUGUUCAUUUUAAACAAAAACAUUUUAACAGAUAUAUAAAAUAGGCUACUUUGUUGUGGUUUUCUCAGGCAGCAAGGGGGAAUCAUUGUUGCAGGUCCUGGUAAAAGUAACAUCUCAUACAUCCACAAGGUUCGUCCCUUCUACUUCUAUCCAGUUCUCUCUCUUUUUGCUUCUAGAAAUAACCAUGUGAAUCCAUCAAUAAGCCUAUCAGAGGAAAAAGAAUAACAAUAAAAAUCAGAUUCUUUUGUUGGUAAUAAAUGAUAAUUGCAAAUACAUUCAUCUACAUAUGUUAAUUUAGCAAUGUGUUUCUCAUCACUUCUUUGAAAUGUGGCAUUUCAAAAGUUGAAAAAUGAUCCGAGUUUUGUUUUAAGGGAUUAUGUCGGCAAUCUUCAUAAUGACUCCAUUUUGGAUUACACAUUCUCAUUUGAGGGAUACUUUGCUAGUUUCCUAAUAUAUCAUUGUACAUUUGUCGAGUUGAUUAGGACAAAGAAGCAGGAGACGAUCCAGAUAUGGAAGAUAUUUUGACUGCAUGUUGCUCAUGAAGCAGGAAAUGAGCCAGUGAGGUGCAUCUUAACCUUCUCUAUGGUUUUACUUAUGUUUACAAACUGUAUCUACCUUUGCUACUGACUUUGAGGUCGAGGAGUAAGAACUAACUGCCUACUUGUGUUCCAAUCUUCAACUCUUUGAGACUGAGUAGUAGCUUGAGGAGUGAACUGGCAGUCUUGCCAAUGGGUGAAGGUUGAGAUUGGGAUUACAACACCAACCUCUCCCCCUUCUUCCCUAACCAUCCACAUGAAAGGAUAACAAUAAUUGUGGAGGAUGAUUCCAUCCAUGGCCCAUGUGACAGUAAUUCGUAAGAGAAACAGAACUGUACCAGACUUAAAAUAAGUUAGAACUAGACUGAAUAAAUACAGUAACCUUGCCAAAUGUUGAUUCCCUAAGCAUGAAUAAUAAUAAUUUCAGAGUUCCUGUGAGCUUGUCCACUGAGCUGACUAGCUAGGCUGCAUAGCUAUCCUGGAUGAACCUGAUCCCUUGUUAGAUGUAGUUGUAAUCCCGCUAAAGGAACAUGACUAGACAAUCCAAUACAUGGUUGGCAUAAUCCAGUGAACCCAUUAAUAUUUGCAGCCUAAUACAUCAUCAAGUAUGUGUUAAGAAAUUGUAGUGUUUUCUGUUCCUCCACAUGCAUUGAGAAAACGUAUAAAAUGGGAAAUUAGAUAAAAAUGACGAAGAAUUUUUAUUCCCUGGCAAUAAUAAAAAAAUUAAAUUUUAAAAGGAAAAGAAGAAGCAAUGCACCUCAGCAGAAGUUCCUUUGUUAUAACUAAAUUUAGUUCAUAAGGAACAAAGUUUUUGGGCUGAAAUUUUGACUCGCACAAGUAGCACCAGACCAUGGCCCUGAAAUUUCAUGAUAGAAAAAUGAUUCGAGCCAUACAAAUUUUACCGCCCAUAAUUGUACAAUUUUUGUGGUCUAUGUAAAAAAAAAAAUAACUGAUGGCAAGGCUCCUGACUACCAGAGAAUCAACUUGGAAGAAUUUGGUAAAAGUCCUGUGACUAAUAGGCAAAAAUUGGAAAGAAAAGAGAACACAAUCUCUAGAUUCCAUUUGUUAUUUAAGUUGCUGGUGAUUUGUUCCUCAUUUGUAUAAAACCCUUUUCGUCUGUAUUUCCCAGUAGCUGUGAUGAAAUAUAUAAUUCAAAUUUCUACAAAACCUUAUAAGACAACUGCUGAUGAGCUGAUCUGAUCUGAUCUUUGGAGUUUGUCUAAUUAGUUUCAGGACUUUACAGGUUUAAAUUAUAAAUGAUGUUCCCAGCCAUUCUCAACGUAAAUAAGACAGGCUAACAUUUGGUUAUUUUUAUUUUUUCAUUACUGUAGUAAUGGGUGGUAGGGGUAGCAAUAGCUGCAGGAGAGAGGCGAUAGCACAAACCAUGACCCACCACAAGCAGUAGGCUUUUCUUGUGCUUACCAUGAAAAAAGAGACACUAGUGUUGAUGAUACAACCUGCUUAUGAACAGGCUUUGACAAAACUAGGAGAACCUUGCCUGCAUUGAUAGCUUAAAAUCUCAGGCUUCAGCAACAAACACAAACUUGAUUCCUUUUAUGUAAUAGUUCAGAUUUAUGAAUUCAACUUUCUUUCUCUGUUUCAGGCAUUUGCAGAGUGAUGCUGAUUUGUCAGGAGAUCACCUUCCUCGAUGGCAUCUGAAGCAAGUUCUGUAGAAACACGUAUUUUGUAUUAAUGUGAAGCUGUUGAUAGAGAUAUAUGUACAAAAUUUGGCUUCCAAACAUGCUGAUAUAAAUUACUUUGUUGCUCUUUUUUGUAGCCAUAUGAAUUUGUCUGAGCCAUGCAUAGUAUGUGAAGGAGAGAAAAAGAUCCCUGGUCCCUGUUAUGAUGCUAGCUCAAUUAAGAGGCUUGUCUUACCUUUUUGUUGUCAGCCCAGCCUCAUUCUUUUCUUUUAAGGCUAUCAUAUUUUAAAUAUAAUAUCCUCAUUCAGUGACAAGAAUUUGAGAAAAUUAAAAUAUUAAUAUGAUAGGUGUGGAGUGAUUUUACAUUUAAAUAUUAAAGUUCCAUAAACCCCCAAUUUUCAUUUAAAUUAAAUCAUAUUUGAUACAUGGCAGAAAUUGGAAUAUUUGAUGCGCGUCGUGCCCACAGGCAUCUUGCGUAGGGACCCCUGCGUACCAUUUGACUGCAGCCUUCAACGAGUGCUCUCACACUGCUUCCUGAGCUUUCCAUUCCUGCUGUUGAAACCUGCAAUUUUUCUUUCUUCUAUCCUGCUGCAUGCCUGCAUCCACCACCUUCACUGCUGUUGCUGCUUCCCCAACUGUAACCAUCUGACAACAGCCUUCAUCUAGUAUCCAGAGGAAUUAUAUUCUAAGUCUCCAAGUGUUGUACUAUUCUUGUCAAAGGUGUGCACCUAAGGCAGGUUUCUUUGACUGUUGAAUCCUAGAAGUAGGACGCCAGUUUCCUACCGCACGGAGAUUGAUACCCUGAGGAGGGCAAAUUUACUUCAGGGAUAGAGCAAUGUCACGCCUCAGCCUAACAAUCCACUAAGUAUCCUUUUCAAUUUGUUAUGUUUCUUCUUCGUUCAAUUUUGGGCUAGAUCAAGUUUGCUGAUUUAAUCUUUUGACCCUUGAACCAUCACAAUUUACCUCAAAUGCAGUCAUUUCCAAUUAUGUCUUUUGUUGCCCUGGAACUCAACCAUUUAUCUUCAACUGGGCUGUGCUUAUUUUUUGAGCAUGUCUCUUCAUCCAGCAUUCUGCACAAAUACUUGGAUUUUAUCCAUUUAGUGGAAACGUGGGACAAAUUUGAGGUACGUACAUAUGUUUGUGUAGUUGGUUUUUUUUUUUAUUUUUUUCAUAUUUUGCUUUUGUUCGCUCAAGUUCUUUACAUCUUAUCCACUUUAUUAGUUAUCAUCUACCCAGUGGAUUCUGAAUGUCGCUCUAAAACCAUAAUCUCCUCUAAAAAAUUACCUCAAUGACGCGUAACGUGGAUGAGAGUGGAUUCAAUGUAAAUUAACAAAGUUGUCAUAAAAUAACCAAUGUUCUGUUUUUGUUCAUUUUUUUUCUCCUGAUUUCAAGAAAAUUUAGGUCUAAAAUGUUUUUAUGAAUUGAUACUAAAAAAAAUUAAUCUACAGGGUGAAAUUUUACCAUAUAUAGCUAUUUUUGUUUCAUAACUCAUCUCAUUUAAGUUAUUAAAUAAAUUAAAUAUAUUUAGCAAAAAUAACUUAAUAUUAUAAUUUAAAAUUAAAAAAUAUUUUAAAUAUUAAAUCAAAAUAAUUAUCUUAUUUUUAAUCUCAAAUUAUUUUUGUUUUAUUUGUCCAUAUCUAAUGACAAUAUAUUUAACAAUCAUGAGUUUCAUCACAUGACUCAUUUUUUAUAGUAAUUAUUUUAUUUUAGGGUUAUCUGAUAUAUUUAAAACACUUUAGAUAUGAAUGUUUAAUGAAAAAUUUUAUUAUUUAAAAUUAAUGAAAAUAAAUAUUAAUUGAAAUUAAUAAUGAUAAAUAUUAAUUAUACUUAAUAAAGAUAAAUAUAUUAAUUUAUAACUUAAAAUAAAUUUUAAGUUCUUAAAUAAUAAAUAUUAAAUCUCCAUAGAUGAAAAAUGGACAAAUAUUAUCAUGCUUAGUGGCCAAACUUGGAAUUUAUAAAAAAAUGACACGUGGAAAAAUGGGGGUGAGGUGGUGGUAAGCAGUGAAAAUUGGGAUAAAAUUUAAAGAAAGAAAUGGUGACAUAGAUGAGAGAAAGAUUAAAUGUGUGACGUGGCUUAACUAAAUUGGCCAAACAAAUAAUUUAAAAUUAUCAGUGAUUACGGUAAAAGAGUUGCAAUUAAAUGCAGGUGACUAUGAAGAACAGAGAUCAUCUGCUUGGAUUUAUAUUCAAAUCGGAUUAAUUACCGAAUCUAAAAUGCCUACAGUAUAGCAAUCAGUGAUCAUUACCCCUCAUUUUUCUUCUCAAAAAUAAAGCUUCAUUAACCGAACGACAAAAAGAAUAAAACACGCUAAACCAAUAUGCCAUGCCAUGCCAUGUGCAAAUAGCUUACGGGUUCAUAACUAUGAAUAUUUGUGGUUACCGUCUUGUCGGGUUCUAUAAUCUACAAUUGGCACCAUAAUGUGGAGUCCCCCAACCAUGUAAAAAAUAAUACUAAGACGAAGUUGGGAGCUCUCAUAAGUCAUACCAUGUAGCAAAAACAAAAACUAUCGCGGAGUUGGCCUUGCAAUAGACUCAUCAAAUGACAAGUAAUUCUCAGUUGGACCCACAUCAAUGCCCAUGUUGAUGGAAGAAUGAAUAGAAUUCCUUGAUGCAUCUGAGUUGCCUUCUCUUGCUGCUUCUGCUCCCCUCUCAAUUGAGAUUGCCUCUUGGAUUUCUUUUAUCACUUCUGAGAUUGGUGGCCUCAUACUCCCAUGGGGUUGGACACACAUCAAAGCUUUCUCAGCUAUCUUCCACAUUGAUUGGAUGUCAUAUUCAUCACGUAAUGAAGGAUCAAUGAUACCUUGGAUAUCCCCACUUUCAAUGUGUAACUUUGCCUGCGAUAUAACCAUGAGAGAAGAUCAGUGAAAGCAAUUUGAUGUGUGGACAAGUUAAAUGAAAUUUCUCUCAACCCCAUCAAAUCAUCAUCUAAAUAGUCCUUCCCCCACCCCAAAGGUUCUAUUUCUAUCCACGACCACUGUUUUUUGGUGCUGUUGGUAAAGCUAAUUUCUAUGAUCUUCUCCAACACCAAACCCUUCUGUUGGAGAAAAAAAAGUACAAAACAGAAACAACAAAGACAAUUUUAAGGCUCCAGAAACUGGAAAUUGAAGUGAAGAAAAAUAAAAUCAAGUUUAAACUUAUAGUUACUGAAUUUUUCUUCAAUUAAUUCAUAAUUUUAUUCUUCUUUCAUGCAUAAAAAGAAAGAAAUUAGAAACAUAUGAACAUUUAAGGCCUAUUUUGUAAUUUUUUUCAAAAACAAUUUUUUAUUCUCUAGAAUAAAAAAUAAAAAAAAGGAAAACAUGUCUGACAACUAUAAAACAAUUUUUUGUUUAAAAACAUAAAACAAGGUAUUUUCAUAUAAUAUCUUUUAGUUGUUUUUAGUUGGUUUUUGAAAAUUAUUUUAAAAAAUAAUUAUACAAAUACAAAGAAUGAUAAAAAAAAAAAAAUGAAGUACUACGUAUGAAAGUAAUUUUUAAAGCAUAUUAAAAAAGAUAAAAAAAUACGUUAACAAUAUUUUAUGUUCCAAAACAAAAUUUUAUUCUACAAAAAAUCAAAGAACGGUUUUCAAAAAUUGUUCUAAAAAAUUAUUUUUCAAAACUAUUUUAAAAAACAUUUCCCAAAUAGAGCCUUUAUAAUUUCAAUUAUAUUUCCUUUUUCUUCAUAUUUCCAUGAUAAACCACAUAAAAAAUUUUGAGAUCCUUUUUUUUUUUCCCUUUCCUUUUCCUAGUACCUUUUGAUAUCCAAACAAAGUGUAAAGAAAAUUGAACAUAUUGAAAACAAUAUUUUGACAACUUAACCAACAGCACAACCACAGGAUUUUGAGGGGACCUGACAUUGUGAAAUUGAUGCUAACUAACCUUCAGCAGAUAUAACUUAAGAGCAAUACGAUUAAUAGAGUUUAGAGGACCUACUUAGCCAACAGUUCCAAUAUUCCAGCAUUUUUUUUGUUUUAAGUUUUAAACCAUACUUACCCAUUGGACUAUGUUACGGCAGUUAACACCAAAGCUUUCAUUAGAUAUUGCUUCUUGACCAGAUAUCAGCUCAAGAAGGAUGACGCCAAAACUAUAAACAUCACUCUUGUCCGUUAAUUGCUGGGAAAUAUAAUACCUGCAUAUUAUUAGAGAUUAGAAAUAAGGUGUGUUAAUGUAACAAAGUGAAAACAAGGGAACUUGAAAUCAGGCAUCUUAAAUGCACCCCAUUCGAUGGUCCUGUUUGGAAGCAGAAGUAAUUACUUUUGCUCUAGGGUUAAUUUUAUGAUUAGGAAUUCUAGUUUAAAAACAUUUUAAUCAAACAUAAAGAUAAUUGACAUUUUUUAGAACCUUCCCUUAUUGCAGUCGAAUAAAAGUAAAGAUUUUCCUACUUUUCAAAAAUCAUGCUAGACCGUGUGUGGCCCAAGUUUAAGAAUUCUACUGUUCUACUUUUAACAUUUAAGAAGCCAUCAAAAAAGGCUUAUAACAACUAUUCUAUGUAGGAUAAUUCUGAAAAGGUGAAGGCAGUAAUGUCGAACACUGACGGUUUGAUUCCACAUGGCAAAUAUUUGAAUUAACUUAGCUUCACUUGUUUCUAGUUUCCAUAAAAAUCAUUUCAUGGAGAAAACAAAAACAAGGUGGAAAAAUGGUUACAACCAGCAAAACGUUGCUAAGGAUGUAUUUUGAUGUUGGAACUGGACAAGCCUAGUUCGAGUUUGUCCAUUGAAAGAAAAAGAUCCACCUGGAGCCAUUAGAGAAAUAUAUUAAAACAUACAAAAUAAAAUAAUAAGAAACUGAAGCAAGAACAACCUAAUUCAACUGAACAGAACAUCAAUCCCAACCACUUGGGACUGGCUACAUUUAAAUUAUUUUGCCACUCAACUCCAGAGAAGCAUACCCUUAAUUUAAAUUCUUAGGUAUCUUCAACUUGAAUAAAAUAGUCCAAAUUGAUGGUAGACAACCUUCACUCACUUUUCUUAAAAAUUGACAUCACUUCUACCUUCUUAAAAAUGCACUCAGUCCUGUUCUAUUCUCUCUCAUAGUGUCAGUUAAUCAUAUUAACAUCUUCCUCAGCUAGAGUUACUAUUGGUACAAAUUGUACUAAAUUCAUUCUAUUAAAUCCUAAAAUGGUUUUAUUUCAGAAGUUUCCAGAAAACAAAAAUAGUUUAAAUUUAGAAAUAACCAAAUACACAAUGGACCUUUUUAGAUGCAAUUGUAAAACAUAUAUAUAGAGUGAAUAAAAGUACUUGAGAAGGAUAAGGAGUCCUCCCCAAAGUUACAAAAACUGAUCAAACAUGGCCAAACUCUACCAUAAUACAAGGAGACUUAGCCAACCAGUAUGGACUAAAAAGAAAUAUAAAAGCCUCUCCACUAGCCCAUACAAAACUCAUCUUUGAUGCUAUUCAACCGCUUUUGUUCUACAGACCAAGGACCAAUCAAAAUUGUAAAACAUAAUAGAAUAUUUAAUUUCCAUGAGACACAAACUUGUAGGUAUUUAUGAAAAGAUUGCCAAAUGAUCCAUCUUUUAAACUGCUAAUCUGAGACCAGCCUAGUUCUCACAUAGCUGCCAAAAGAUAGUUCAGGGUUCUAACUUUGUAAAGGGUGCCUAGCCUAUGGGGCUAAGUAAAUGUGUUCUCCAGAAAAAGAAAACUGCUAAAGGAAGGGCUAGAGAUCAGCUUUUUUCAUAAAGGAGCCAGUUGAAACAUGGAUUUCUACACAGAAACCACAUCCACAAAAAUAAAGCCCUUCUCACUACUUGAUUAUGCAGACACCACAGGAAAAGUAAACUUGGAAUCUUACAUCAGCAACUCCAGACCCAAACUUCCAUAACUUUUCAAGUUUUCAUUUCUUUUCUUAUGUCUUCCUUACAACCAAAACUUAGCAGUGAGGAAAUGCCCAAAUUAUUAAUUGUGUGUUUAUAAGAUAAAGAAGGGUUGUCAUUCACUUCUAACAAACUCUCAUCUUUUGGUGUCGCAUCUCCAGUAAAACAUUAUAUACACCUGCACAAGCAACUUGUAGAACAGGCCUAUAUAGUCCCCCAUCAUCAAAAUUUCAUCACCAAUUGUCUUUGGCAAACACAGCUUAAAUAUUCUAUAUUUUCACAUUCAAAGAAAAUUAAACAGUUUUCACGUCUUGAACUUGUUCAUAUUAGAUGCUCAGGCAUUAACUAGAAUUUUAGCAGUGAGACCUGUAUCCUUACUCCAACAAAUUGGUUAAAUGGAUGUCAGAAACCAAGACAAUGUCUGGAUUGAAGGGAGAGACAAUGAUAAUAAGUAUAUAAAGGAACUCACUUAAACUUACUAAGAACAAUGGGGUCCAAAAUUUAAAUUAUCCCCAUGUGUAUGUAGUAAGCACAGAUUCACAUUUGAAGGCUAGCAGAUUUUCAUGACACAAGUUUUCCUUAGGAACAGGAAAAUGAACCCUUUUCUUCUAAACAUUCCUGAACAUAUCCAAAUCAGUUUCACAUUUCAUACUGAAUUGUAUAAUUGAACUUUAUGACUUUUCAAAGUCAGCUUACACAAAUCUGAAGACACUUUUUAUCAACAAGAUGUACCAUAGCCAAGCACAUGAAGAGCACUGAAUGCUUCAGACAAAAAAUAUAGCAGCAGCAUAUUCAACUCCUUUUCAAAUAUGGUGUUUUAACUUGAUCUCAAAAAAUAAAAUAAAAAGUAAAAAAUAAAAAAAUAAAACAGAAAUGUAGAAGAUACAUGAGAAAAGGCCUUACUCAGGAUCCAGAUACCCCACAGUGCCACGAACCACACUCGAUACAUGGGAUGAUCCAUCUACUGCUAGCUUUGAAAGACCAAAAUCUGAAACCUUUGCUUUCAUGUAUUUGUCAAGAAGAAUAUUGCUACUUUUCAAAUCCCGAUGAAUGAUGGAUGGAACACAUCCUGUAUGAAGGUACUCAAUUCCUGAAAACAAGGAGAUAAUAAGCAAAUUAAUUCCUCUGAAAACAUAAACUUGUCAGAAAAAGGAGAAUUUUCAACCCUAGCUUACACACCUUUAGCCGCAUCUUCAGCAAUCUCAAGGCGCUUGAUCCAACUGAUAGCUCGCUCACGUGUCAAGGGGCCUACCAAAAUUUUGUGGGCAAGUGAGCUGCAAACUUAUAUUCCCUCUAUUCAAAGAGACAAUUUACUCACCAUAAAGAUGUUCCUUCAGAGUUCCAUUAUGCAUAAACUCAUAAACAAGCAUACUUCUGCCUUCUUCUUGGCAAUACCCAAGAAACUGUACCAGGUUUCUGUGAUGGAUUCUUGAAAGAAGGGUCACCUAGGUUGAUGGUAGUAUGGAUCAAUAGACAAGAACAAGCUUCAAAUGGUUAACAAAGGAAACUCCGUAUGGUAAGCUGAAGCAUUAAGACAAGUGAAACAAGUUUUAUUGAAUAGGAAAGCAAAGGGUUUCAACUUUCUUGCUUCCGUGCUAGAUCAACAUGGUUUCUCACAGCAAGAGAGAUGACAUAAGCUUUAAAUAUCCAACCUGUAUUUCCAUAGGAACUUUCAUAAUAACAAGGUCUAACUGCUCUAGUCUGGUAACCAGUUUAGACCAGUUCCACUAUUUUCGUUCUUUUUUUCCUUUUAAUCUGAAACAAACUAAUUAUUUAAUAUAAAUUUUGAAGUAUAAAUGAAAGAUGAGAAAUCCUUCCAAAAUGUACAAAAGCUAUUCAGAAAAGAAGAAAGGGAGUGAACUUUUUUGAAUAAGAACAAGAGGAAAGCUAUAAUAUAACAUGAAUUUGUACAAUUAGAGUAAUUCUACACUCCUCAAAGGGGUAAAAAAAUUCCCUACAAAAGAAGCCUAACACCUGUCUCCUUGUGUUACUAAAUGAUCAGAAACUGGAUUAACUAAAGAGACCAAGAGAAAGAACACAACCCAUGUUGCCAGCAACAUUUAGAACUUUGCUAAAGCCGCCCAUCAUACCUUCAAGGCCAUCUCUCUAAUUUAGACACUCAAACCAUCAAAAUAGCAUAAUUCCCUUCCACUCAUAAGUAAAAAAGACAGAGAGUCUUAUCUUGUGCCAAACCCUUCAAAACUAAAAUCUUUGCCUCAAUAAUGAAGCACUCUCCAACCGUUGUGAAAAAACUCUCAACUUUGACCUACAUACCAAGUUACAAUCAAGUUGUAGAACACUAAGGUAAGUAUCAUCAAAACCAAACUAGAUUUUAUUUUCUAAAAACAGUUUUCACAUUUCUUAAUCAAACACGUUUUCAAAAAAAGAACAAAUAGAAAAUAGAAACUGUUCUUAGAAAAUGAAAACUAGAAAACAUUUUCCUAACCAAACGCAACCCUUAGAGCCUCCAUUGUUACUAUAAAUAAAUAGGGAGAAGGGGGAUCCCCUUACCUCAAACCCCUAGAGUUCUGAAAAAAGUUAGAAGGGGUGUCAUUAACAAGCAAAGAAAGCUUGGUAUAAAUAUAAAAGGGUGCAACCUAGGACAAUAUAGAGUAAGUUCAGGUAAAAUUCAACCCAACCAAACUCAUGACUUCUAGAGGUCAAACCAACCUAAGUGAGAGAGGGAAAAGCACUUGACCCUGAGUGCUUAGAAUGAAAAUUGUUGUAGCUAUAAAUCGGUCUGUAGAAGAGACAAUAGUUCCAUCUUCUAUUCCUUCAUAAAGUUGAAGGUUAAAGGCAUCUAUUAAAGUAGACAUCUCAGAUGGACAUCAAAAGAAUUUUAAGUGGCUUCUAUUUUUCAUGAGACCAGGCUGUUUUAUCUGGUGAGUUCGUGCUGCAUGGUAAGGAAAGCCUCUCUUAUGAUUAUUUUCUCUGUUCAACAAAAUAAAUGACAAAUAGAAUAAAAAACAAGUCUUGCACAUGAAAAUAAAUUCCAAUACUUAUAAGCAUAUGAAUGAAUUUCUGGGUCUAUGCAUACAAUGCUGUUUGCAAGAUCACUGUCCUCAUCAAUUAGGCUGACAUUACCAUAUCAAAGAAUAUGCCUUGUUUCCUUCCAAUUCAAUAGCUGUUUCUAAAGAGUGUCCAUCAUUUCAUGAAAUAGAAUCAUGGGAACCAUCAAUGGUUAUACUGAGGAAUUGUGGAAAAACAAACAUAGAGCAAAGAAACAAGGAUAGUUGAGCAUCCAAAAUAGAAAGGAUGAAAAAAGACAAAAAAAAAAGAAAGAAAUAGAAAAGGGAUCGAUGGGAAAGCUACCUCAUUUGAAAAUUCUCUAUUCCCCUGAUAGGAGUUAUUGAUUAGUACUUUGACUGCAAUUUCUUUUCCAUCUUUCAUUUUUCCAUAAUAUACCACUCCAAAACCCCCAGAACCAAUUUUCUUCUCAAAUUUCCUUGUAGCAUCUUCAAUUUCAGAUAAACUAAAGCAAUUUGCAGCUUCUGUGGCAGCAUCAUUCAAGGAAGAAACUAUCCUUUGAGCAGGUAGUCCAUGUCCAAGCUGGUCUGAUACAAAUUCAUAGAAAAACCCUGUUACAGACACUGACAUUUCAAUAGAAGAGAAUAAGCAAACUUCAAGAUUGCUCACGCAUACCCUGUUCAUAGUAUCUUUUCUUUCCUUUGUGCAUAAAUAAGCAAGAUGCAAUAGUAGCUAUAAGCAGAACAACAGCCCCAACUGAGGAUCCAAUGAUAAUACCAAUGUGUCUACCUCCUGUGCUCCCUUUAUGAAGAUUAUCAUUUCCUGAGUAGCUGUCAAGAAAAAGUAGGAAGCACCAAUGAAAAUAUUGAUGUCCUGAACUAAUAAAUACAUGUAAAAAUGAGAAAUGAGAUGGAGAACUGGGGCAAAAACUACAGCAUGAGCAAAGUUUUGAUUAAUCUUUGUAUACAAUUUACCUGAAAAUGACAAGUAAAAUCAAAGUACCAGUAUGUUAAAUCAAAGUCGAGAUUGUUGUGUGCAGUCACUGUGUAUGAUGGGGAACAACAUUGAAAAUAUUCUUUGAAGACUUACAAGAGAAAGGUAAUGGCUGGUUCCAAUGCCUAACCCUUAAAUUAGGUUCUUGAUCACAGUUUUAAAAUCUAUUCAUAUUUGGUUUAAUUUGGAUCUUGCUGACUUAAUUUUCUCCUUGUAGUUGACUCCAGCAUUUAGCCAUCUUUUCUUGUUCUUCUCUUUCUCCUCUUACUUCUUUAUUUUAAUCCUUUGUUAUUAUGCAAAUUGUUAUUCAACCAUUCUUUAAUUUGAAAAUAAAAUCCCAACAGUUGUGAAAAAAACACAAUCCCAAAUUUCCCUUGCUGUCCAGAAAUUCCAGUAGGUCUUUCCUUUUAAAUUCAACCUGGAAAACAACUUAAACCAUGGCUAAUUUAACCCUUAAUCCAUUAAUAAAUUCUAAUUCCACCAUCCCCUUUAUGAACCAAAAACCAAAAGCCCUAGCAUUAUUUGCUCAUAGGCUGCUAUUUUAAGGAUUGUCCUACAAAAAGGGAUGCAGUAGCAUACAUAGGUACAGGUCUGUUUAUUGCACACCAAACAAGGUGGGUGAACCAAGUCAAUAUCACUGAAGAACAAGUUAACCAGCGACUCAGGCAAAAAAUAUAUACAUAAAUGUACAUAAAUAACAUUAUGAAAUUGAAACAUGAAAGUAUUAUUCAAAAAUCAUUCUUCUUUUUCACCAAAUUUUCAUGGUAUAUUCAUCAUACCAUCAUUACAAGUUAUGUGACCCACUAUAAAUGGCAUAAAUCCAGGGAUUACAAUCGUCUAAAGCUCUGUAAUGGAAAUAGGGGUUAGAAAACCAACUAUAACCACUGCAAAGCAAGGCUCCAUUUUUCUUUUCUUUUCUUUUCUUCUCUCUCUUUUUUUAUUUUUUAUUUUUAUUUUUUUGUGCUGUGUCAUUCACACCAGACAUGUCUGUCAAACAAUUUUUUUGAAAUCUCCAUCUCAAGAACCUCAUAUGCAUAUCAGACACCAAAGUACUAUAGAUUGAAAUGCAUUGUUUACGGAAAAUAAAAAUAAGACAAAUCGUUGGGGUACAUAAACUAAAACAAUUUUAAAAUAUGCCUAUAUGAGAUUAAUAUUUAAAAAUCUAAGCUAAUCAGUGAUUUCCACCAAUUUUCAACACACAACGUUACAUUUUACGAAUUUUAAUUUUCUACAUGUAAAGAAAAUG